rnacentral:lncRNA from 1 species
AACUAAAAUACUUGUACUUAUUAGUAAUGUGAAGGCUAUCCAAUCUAAUUAUCUAAACAAUAGGGUAACAAUUGAUUAGUGUUAUUUUCAAAAUCAUGGCAGUUACAUUAAAAACGAGUAACAUAAAUAUACUAGAACUUGCUAAUUUGAACUUACAUUUGUUCUUGUUGGGUGCUUGAUUAACCUUUCAUGAUGUUGUCGCCGAUGCUUCAGUAACAUCAAAUAUAGAUGUCACGCAUUAAAAUCUUCUUUGAUAUGCAUUAUCAUUAAAUAUAGUUGUCACAGUUGAAUCAACAAACGUUGUUGCUGAAUUGGUAUUUUAAAACUAAGUUCAUCACAACUGCCAUAACAUUUAAGUGAACAUGUUCAGUAAUUUGGAACCAAAACGAACUAAAACUAGAUCUAAGCCAUUUUCAAUACAAAAAUAUAGAUGUCACACAUUAAAAGCUUCUUUGGUGUUGCAUAAUCAUUAAAUAUAGUUGUCACAAACAUGUUCAGUAAUUUGGAACCAAAACGAACUAAAACUAGAUCUAAGCCAUUUUCAAUACAAAAAUAUAGAUGUCACACAUUAAAAGCUUCUUUGGUGUUGCAUAAUCAUUAAAUAUAGUUGUCACAGUUGAAUCAACUGACAUUAUUACUAGAUCAGAAUUUUAAAACUAAGUUCCUCACAGCCGUUAUAACAUUUCAGUGAGCAACUUCAGUAAUUUAGAACCGAAACAAACUAAAACUAGGUAUGAACCAUUUUCAAUGUAAAAUAUAAACGCAUAAAUCACAAAAUCAAAACAUUUAACUUCACCAUUAAAAUCAAGGAUAAUAAAAAACACAAGUUGAUUCUUUUAUUCCCCUUAUACUAUGACUUAAUCAUACAUAUCCCCCAAGAGAUCUUGAACCGAUCAAUAAAUGUCAUAUAUACAAAGUUUGAAAUGUCUAAUUAUACUAUUAUUGUAUAUAUUCCAAACCAAUUUAUAUGAAGCAAGCAGUGGUCUAUUUGGAUAAUCACUUCCUACAUGCAACAUCUUAUGGUGUAUCCACUUUCUCAAAAAAAAAACUCACAUAUCAUCAGCAUUCCAAGUUAUCUCUAAUUAAAUUCCCAGCAAAAUUCAAAAGGCAAGAACUAAAAAGUAAAAUAAAAACAAGCAUGUGAGUAUCACUGAGAAAAUCAAUGUUAUUUGUUAUAGCACUAGUACUUUUGCACCUAUAUGGAAAGUAAAUUAGUAUAAAUACCAAAAGGUUUUUUUGAGUUUACAAAUUACCAAAAAUAAGAAAAUUCAAAUCGUUUACCUCGCAUGAAAACUUAUCUAGUAGUUUUGUUUUAUACUACAGUAAACUUAUUGAGACAUCAUUUAUUAAAGAAACAAAAAACUUUAAUACCUCUUAAUAAUUUCCAAUAAUUGUAACUGUAGGAUCUCCAAAAACUACGACAAGGCUUAAUGAUUAUUAUUAUCAUGUGUAAAUCCUUCAUAUGAUCCAAUUUUAGUUUCCUGAGUAAUCAUGCAUAAUGAUAAAACAAUAUUAAGGACCCAAUUUAAGUGUAUGAAUAUAUAAACUAGGCGUGAUACUUCUUGACUCCUCAAUUGUUGCAUGUAGCAUCAAAAAAGUUACUACAAAGACUUUUACAUGAUGAUGGCAGUCUCUCUAUACAUCGGUGGAAGCACUUAGAUUUGUGUAAGGCAAUGUUGAUGAAGUUAACAUUUGAGCAUUUGAAUUGGUAAUGCAUAAACCAAUCAACAUUUAUGUAUAAUAUUUUAAACAACUAUUUACAAAUAUGACAAGAUAUUCAUGAUAUUUUUUUAGAUUUUAUUUUAAUGAGUGGCCAAAAGGUACAAGUGCAAUGAAUAUGCAAUAUCAUUUUUCUUAAAAAGUUGAGAAUUAUGAAAAGGUCGUAAGAUGCUCUGACCAUGUAGUGGUGAGUGGUAAUAGGAUGACAUCAAUAUAAAUUGUGGUUAGUAGCUCAUAAUUAUAAUAUACUAUCAUUCAGUCAUAUUUUGAAGCACUUAACAAUUCCAUAUUAAAAAACCUCAUCAAUUUCAAAUUAUUUGGAAGGAUAAAGAGGUGUCACAACUAGGAUGCCUUCAAACUUUCAGACCAACAAUGUCAGAUACUUAAAUUGAAAACUAAGUGAGGUUGGUUGGUUCAAUUUUAAACCUUGUUUAAAUAAUCAUGGGAUUACAUGUCCAAGAUAUUAACCAAAUAUGCAUGAAAUUAUGCUCUCAAAUGCUUUUACGAUUUUACCUUAACACAGCCCGAGUAAUGGCCAAAUCAUCUUCACAGGGAUAACACUACAAUAUUUGAAAAGCAUAUUAGUGAACCUUUCUAAAACUAUACCAAAAAUACAAAAUGAAUUCCAAAGUUAAAAAGUUAGUAACAUAAUGCAAAUGUUGAACCAAGUUUUAGCAUAAAAACUAAGAUCAAACUUUUUAGUAUGCAUCGACAAAAUUUGCAUAGUUGAACUAAAUAACAAGGAAUAAGAAAGUUAGGGGGCUGCCCCUGCCCAAAAAGCACAUUAGAUUAGUAGAAAACUUAAUCGGAUCAUUUCCCCUCACAAAAUGAUAUGUCACUUUAUUCAUCUCCUGCAUGUCAAAAGCACAUUGUCAUUUAUUUAUACAAACAAAGGUCAUAUUAAUUAGUUUCAAGGUUAAGUGAAGCUUUUCAAGAGAAGCAACAAUGAAGAUUAUAUUCCCUAUAAGUGAUAUUAUGAUACAUACCACCUCAGGACUAUAAAAAAAUAUGUACUCAGCCAGAAGAAUUUGCAGUUCUGGAGCUCCACUAUUACUUGUUCCAAAUUCAGCAGCCCACCUGAAUAAAAUAGCAGCAAAGUCAAAAAUAUUGCUCAGAGGAACAAAUGAUUACAACAUAAACAACCAUGAAUAAAUAUGCUUUUAGAUUCACUAUUUUUUCACUAUAUGUUACUUUAAAUUCACUAUUUUUUCUCUUUUUUGGCUCGUGGAAGAACUAAACAAUAUAUGGAAUUAUGAUAUGAUCUUAAACUUGUUUGAACCUGUGAACUUUAAACAAAGAAUAAUUGCAAAGGAACCUUUAUAUUACCACUCACAAGGUAAAAUAGAUCUAAUAGUUUUAAGAUCUCUGUCAUCGUCAUCUUCAUUGUCAUCGGCAUUCAGCAAAGCCAUUACUUGAGCAAGGCAUUGAGCAAUGACUUUGUAGCAACAUUCUGAGUUAUUUUAAUGCUUAAAAUUCAGUGAGGGCAGAUAAGUUGGCAUGUCCACUACAUGAGUGUGACAGAGACGACAUCACAUUUUUAUAUUCACUACUCCAUUGUCACUCCAUCUUCCUAGGUCACUAUUACCCUUUCCAAAACUUCUAUUUAGUUAGUCAUUAAAGUACAUUACCGGUAUUAUUCAUUACCCUAAAUGGUUAGCUAGUGCUUUAUUGUAUUUGAGCAACUAAAAAUCAAGAGACAGAUUGAAAAUUGAAGCAGAGAUUAAUAAGUAACAAUCAACUUUAUUAAUUAAUUAACAACUGCUCUAUGUUUAUUAUAACACUAAAUUUCGAUAUAUCUAGUAGACAAACCACCACCCCAUGCAAACUUGCUGCAAAUAGAACAAAGAAACAAGACCAUAGCGCCAAACCUGCUACUUAUGUUUUAGGAAAUCUGCUACUAGUUUCCAAAUCUUCCCUUAUACCAAAAUAUAAGAUAAAUUCAAUUUAGUAGUAUCAAUUAACAAUAUCCUGCAUACAGUUUACAAACACAUAUUGUAUAUAGCGAAGGAAGUGGAAAAUGAUAUGUAUUUCUCCUAAUGAACACUAAUGUAUCCUAAAAGUGAAAUAAUUUCUUCAAACACACCAUUAGAUGUGCCUACUUCCUCUUCCCCUAUCAUAAUAGAGCCACCGUCUACGUAUCUCACAAAAUGUCUGCAGAGCAGACAUAACUCAUAACAGUUUGCUAAUCUUAAAAUAUAAUGAAGUAAACACCCAAUACUAAUCUAAAAACUCAUUAUAGUUGCAAACCAUGAUAUAAAAAAGAUAAACCAUGAUUUUACCUUGAAAUCGACCUUAGAAGAAGAGUAACAAUGCGGACGAGCGGCCGAUUGCAAGUGAUUCAAACUUCAAAUAAUUUUUAGGGUUUGAUCUUCAACGGAUUUUAGGGUUGGGCUUCGGUUAAGAAAAGGGAUAGAGGAAGGAGAGAAGAGCUUGGAUCGUGAGGAAAGAAGCUGCGACAGAAAUGGUCAUGAAGCUUUAAUCGAAAUGGAAGAAUAAUGAGUGAAGAUGAGAUUGAGGAUAUAGAGGUUGAAAUUUGGGGAAAGGAAAAUGUGAAUUAGGAAAACAAGGGUUCGAUGGUUUUUUUUUCUAACUAGGUCUUUAAUAAUUAUGAUUAAAAAUUGGUAAAUGAAAAAGGGUAAAACAUAGGAGCGUUUAAUUAGGAGGGAAAAAUGAAAAUAUAACGCACUUGUUCCAAUUUCAUUUAUUACUAUUUAAAAUGUAAAUAAACGGCGGUUGUAACCGCCAUUAUAGGUUUAGUAUUACGUCGGCUAUUGAAACCGCCACAAUUUACAAGAUAUUUUGUAGUGAAGAAAUCAUAGGAAGAGACACAAGAACAAGGAACAAAAUUAAGAUGGGAAGUUUUGGCACGGUCGCCGGGCGCGAGUUGGAGAGAAGAAAGCAAGCUCGCCCGACGAGCUUUGCCGAGCUCGGGGCGAGGCCAAAAAGUUGAAUUCCAGAAGCAAAACUCGUGUUGGUCGCAGGGCGAGAAUCUGAGAUUUUGAGUUCGCCGACGAGGAUGUGGUUGUCGGGCGAGAAUAUAUAUUUUUGCCAAUGACUGUUUGCUGCGUUUGAGCCAAGUGGGAGGCACUUAAAGAAAAUUUCAUCGGGCGAGACCCUGCUCUCCGGGAGAGAUAAAAAAAUCUCAAUUUUGUAUAAAUAAGUCCAAAUCAUAUUUUUAGAUAUGGUUUUGGGAAUAUUUAACCCCAUUUCCAUCACCCACAUUUUUAGUUAGGAGAGAUAGAUCCUUAGAAAACAACAAGUGAGGGUGCUUCUUGAAGAUGCGGAGUUGGAUUUGCCUCCAUCAUUGGAAAAUCGCGGUGGAUGUUUGUUCAUCUUCAUUAUUUUCUUAAAUCCCUUUCUUGUUGGGAUUGUUUGUAAGUUUGUUGUUAAUGUAUGUAUUUUUAGUAAUCAUGGCAUUAUGUACGAUCUAUUUACAAAUUUAUACCGGUGUUAUCUUUGUUUCACUGCUUACAUAUCGAUUUGCAUUAUUAUUGAGAAAUACUCUUCGAAUCUCAAUAUAGGAUAAUCAUCUGUUAGACACUAACCUCUAGACAUAGAUUUAGAUUUAACAUUCGUGUGACUAUCGAAUCUUAAUGCUUUGUAUUGUUUGAUAGGCUGAGAAAUCGUCGAUUAGACAAUGCGGUUGAACUCUUGACCUGAAGUUUAGAUAUGAACCUUGUUGUGAGCAAUACAUGAUGAUAUUGAUAAGUGUUUAGAUUGUGUAUAAUUGGUUUGUAAAUUACUUGUUCGAUUGGUGGAUGUAAUUAAAUCCUGUAAAGCUCUCAUAUCUCUCCGAAGCUUUAUUUAUUUAUUCUUCUAUUUUACAUAGCUUAGUUUUAAAUUCAAAUCUUACAAACCUAAGCUUAAAACCAGUAGAAACCGUUGAACAACGUUAAUGUCGCACCAAUCCUUAUGGAGACGAUAAAAAUGAAAAUACUUACUUUGGCUUGCUGCUUUAUCGCUUCAACAACGAGCGUAAUUUCCCCAAAAAAAUCGUCGGCGAUGACAAGUAGCACAUCAGAGGGGGACGACCAUCAUGGUCGAGAUGGUCCGACCAUUAGCCUUGUUGAUUGACCAAAUUGGAAUGUUUAACUCAACUAUUCGACCAGUUUCUGUUUUUCUGACUUGUUUAUUUCUAUUGAUAAGGAUUGAUGAGAAAAAUGUUGAGUUAUUGUGUUAAUUGGUGAAUGCCUCAUGAGGAGGAAUUGUUGAUGCUAAUAUGUUUAGGUUCGAUGGAACCAAUGAUGUGGCCAUAAGACGAUAAUAAAUUUUUAUGACUAUUUUAGGUUCGAAAGGAACCAGUGACGAGUAUAGAAGUUGGAGGUCUGGAUAAUAAUUGAAUAUUUCUUAUAGCAUUCAUGCAUCAUGUAUGUUGGAGCUAGGUAGGACUUAGGUCCAGUGAUGAGUAGCACUUUGGUCCAGUGACGAGUAAGACCUCGGUCCAAUGAUAAGUUGGAUACCCUAAAAACAUACCUCUGAGUAUUCUAGAUAUUGGUACCACAUGCAUGGGAGUAGAAUAUAUGAAUAUUGCAUACCUAAUUGCAUAUGUUAAUUGAUUGUUUGUUGUCAUUCGAAUUCGUGAUUAUGAUUGAUUGACCACGGUGAUUAUACUAUCCUUGUUGUUUUAUGCACCGUUUAUAUAUUGAAUUUAUUCUCACCCCUUUUUGUUUCCAUGUGUUUAUAUAUGUAUGUUAUGUAAAUUCUCAGGUAGAGACUGAUGAGCAUUAGUUGUUACUUAUUUUGAAGGAUGGCAUAGUUGUCAUAUUCGUUGCUUUAUUUCCUGAUUUGGUUAUCAUACCUUAUCAGCUGUUUGGUUUUCCGAUGUUUCACUUUUAUAAUGUAACACUGGGUUGGGAAUACCUUUUUUCUGAGUUGUUUCAUUGAAUACUUUAUGUCAUGAAUGAAGUUUGUUUUCCGCUUAUGAUACAAUUUGCAAACGUCAGAGAGAUAUGACACCCUUUUUAUAUCUUUAUAUUUUUCGCAUGUUUUAUAAAUUAUAUUUUGGGUUUUAGGGUGUUACAUGCUGAAAUCUAGAAAAAACUUUGCCAGGACCUAUAACUUGGCGCUUCCUCUAUAAAUGUACUGGAUGUUAUAUUCAAACAACUUGACUGGAUAAGAUACCAUUCUUCUAGCCAAAUUUGGCUUCUUGAGGUCUUGGAAUACAUGAUACUCUAUUUUAAUCAAUAUCUAAUGUCCUUAAAAAUAAGUCUUAAGCUUUCUUUUUGUCUCCACUACAGCCAACACUAGCCUUUCUAUCUUUUGAUAAUGGGCCAUAACACCCCUGAACACUUUUCUUGCAAAAUAGAUAGGUUGCUCUGCUUUAUAUGUUUCUUGGAUGAGUAUUGAGUUUAACACCUGAUCAAUAAUAGAUAAGUAGAGAUAUAAAGGUGAACCAACUAUUAGGCAUGUUAGGAUGAACGGUGAUGCUAAGAACACCUUCAACCUUGAGAAUAACUGCUUGCAUUUGUCAUUCCAUUUGAACAUUUCCUUUUUAUUUAACGUGGAGAGUAAGUGGAAGACCUUGUAACAUGCACACAAAAUAACAUGCACACAAAAUAACAUUUCCUUUUCUCUCUUCAACCUUCAGCCCUUGCUCUGUCUCUUUGCCCUUUUCCUCCUUCACGAUCGUUUCUCUGCUUUUCACGUAAAAACCUUUUCUUUUCAAAAUGGACUCUUUUCCUUAUUUCAACUUAUAUAUAGUUUUCCAAGUUUGAUAGUUAUGUAUCCACAUAAUAAAUAAUAAUUCAAUAAUAUUUCCAAUAAUUAAUUAAAUUAUAAGUAUUAUAUUAAUUAAAUUAAAUAAUUAGCAUAUUUCAUCGGGGUGUUACAACUCUCCCCCACUAAAAGAGUUUUCGUCCUCGAAAACAUACCUCAAGCGAACAACUCUGGGUAAGACUCCUUCAUCUUACUCUCAGUUCCAAGUCACAUUGCCACCUGCUGGUCCCACCCAAGCGUACCUCACCAAGGCAAUCUCUUUACCCCGCAACUACUUCAACUCUCGAUCCUCGAUCCUCAUAGGCGAUGUUUCAACAGUCAGGUUAUCUCUCACCUGUACAUCAUCUACUUGGCCUACAUGCGACGGAUCAUGAAGGUACUCCCUCAACUGAGACACAAUGAAAAACCUCAUGCAAAUUUGCAAGCGAGCGCGGUAAAGCGACACGAUAGGCUACCUCCCCUAUCUCUGUCUAAAAUCUGAUAAGGACCAAUAAAUCGAGGUGUCAACUUCUUCGACUUCAAAGCUCGACCAACACCAGUUUAUCGAGUAACACGAAGAAACAAAUGAUCUCCGCUCUUGGAACUCAGUGACUUCCUCCUCUUAUCAUGAUAACUCUUCUGACACUCUAAGCAAUUCUCAUCUUCUCCUGAAUCAUCUUAAUCUUUUUCUGUAGUCUGUUGAGCAAUCUCCGGUCCAACCACAACACUCUCACCGGACUCAUACCAACAUAGACGGUGUCCGACAUCUCCUACAUAGGCAAAGCUUCAAAACGGUGCCAUAUCAAUGCUCGAAUGAAAACUAUUGUUGUACGGUAAACUCAAUCAAGGAGGCCAAAUAAAAUCCCAAGGCACCUCUCCUUUGUCAAACAAGAGACACAGCUGUGCCAAAAGCAUCCCUUAAUGACUGAAUCGUCGCUCGUCAGUCUGACGCAUGCACAGUCUGCGGAUGAUUAUGCAGAGACGUCAAUCUCACUUUAGUUCUAAAGCCCUGCUGGCAACAACCUUCCAGAACUUCGAUGGUAAAUCUUAGGAUCUCUGUCGCGAAAUCAAUACUACUCGAGCGGAGUAGUACCAUGCAAAGCUUACAAUCUUUCUCAUAUAUACAACUCGGCUAAUCUUUGCUAAGCGGAUAAUCGCAUUCUGGCGAAGUGAAGAUGAGCCGACUGUCGUCAAUCUGUCAACAAUCACGCCAAAUGGCUUCAAAAUUCUUAUGUUGGCCUGCGUAGACCAGAACAAGAUCCAUACUUGAUGACUAUCCCACUUUCCACUCUGGAAUAGCCAACGGUUGCAUAGGCGCCAGAACGACUUCUUGAUGGCUCAAUCUUUGACUUCUUGGACAAGUCAAACAGGAAAUAAAACAAUCGCAAUUUCUCUUUUCAUUCCGCGGCCCGACCCAAAAUAACUUCUUCAAAUCAUGAUAACAUCUUCGUAGCUCCAGGAUGAAAUAUCAAGCCACUACGAUGUCGCUUUGCUCGCAGAAUACUGCUUGCUUAAAGUUCGGUAACAUCAACGGAAUACACAGACGACCGAUUACCAAUGUUCAAAACACCGAUUCUCCAUCAACCUGAAUUCACGACACCUUGGCGCUGAUCACUAGAGUCGAACUAUGCAUACCGAAGAAGCACUAUCGAUUUCUGACGAUCCUCGCCUCGUCUAAUCUUCAUCCAGAAAUGACCACGUUGUUAAGAUUCCAACAGUUCCCAGAUUUUAAACACUAAUUGGUGAGUACUCUGGCACACCAGCCUCAACUCAAGUCUCGUAAACUGCUCAAGUUGUAAAGUCGGCAAUUCCUCUAACCAUAUAACAUAGACAUAUGUAAAUGAAUUUCCGACUGCAAUGAUUCAGCCCACUACGUUUGCUUACCCGGAUGGGUAAUCAAACGCAAAGUCCUAAUCCUUUCAGAAAUUGCUAACCAUCUCCUCUGUUCCAUAUUCAGUCUUUCUGAUCAAACAAAUACUUUAACUUUUAUGGUCACUGAAAACGCUCAAUGCUUGAUGCCGUACAGUACGUGCUCCAAUAACUUCAGAACAAAUACGACAGCUGCCAACUCUAAAUGCGUGUGUCGGAUAGUGUCGUCUCAUGAACCGCGUCACGCUGUCUCGGAAGGCAUAAGCUAUAACCUGUGUUAUUCUGCACAACGACUACCACCAAACCCAACAAUGAAGCAUCACAGUAACGCUCAAAUGAUUCCGACGAACUCGGUAAAUAUCAGAAUAGGGAGCAGUAGUCACCUUGCUCUUUAAGCUCUUGAAACCCUUCUUGCACAUUUGGAGUCCGCAACAAACGCUUGCCCGUUAUCUUAGUUCAACAUCGUCGAACGGUAGACGUGGCCACUUAGAAAGAUCGCCUCAUGAACCUUUCCUGAAUAAUGAAACCAGCAAAGGUCCAAGAAAACUUCGAAUCUCUAGGCAGCAGACGUUUGAGAGCUCUCCGCACUUAAGACACGCUUCUAUGCUUAGAAGGCGAUCAACAGCACACUCUCCCUUGAAAUCAACAUGAACAGAAGAAAACUAACCCUCUUCCUAGGACGCGAAUGUCCACAUUUAGAGAGUUUAGCAACAUAACUUCUUUUCUCAAGAACUUCUAAAAACCCACUCUCAAAUCUCAGGCAUGCUUCGUUCUUCAGAUUUCGAGAUUACCAUCAAAAUGUCAGUCCGAAUAACAGCGCAAACAAAGACUAAUCAUAGGUGACGGUAUGGAAAAUCCUAUUCAUAAUACUCCAUAAAUACUCCAGGGCGCAGUUAGUCACGCCAAAAAGGCAUUACAGAAUAGCUCAUAAUGUCCAUACUGUGGUCUUGAAGAGCAAGUCUUCUGAAUAUCCUUCAGUUUUUCAACGGUAUCUGAUUGAUACCCAGAUCUCCAAAUCUAUCUUGCUGAGAGCACACUCGGCCCAAACACAACUGAUCGCAUGAAUCAUCAUCCUUCGGGCAAAGGAUAGCCGAUUUCCUUUGGAUCGUCACUGUUAGUUCAGUUGCCUGGUAAGUCCACGCACAGCAAACCUCAUAGUACGGCGGCGCUGUGGUGGGGGUUCUGGUUCCUUCUUAACCAAUAACUAGCUGGUGCAACCCCACGGUGAGCGGACAGCUUCGGGACCGAAUAAAUUUCUUAUCGCAACAGAUCCUUUCUAAACUGACUCUGUCCAUUCAGUUAAGCUCAAGCGGGCAGACCAUACGGUACGGAGCCAGUCGGGAUAUCGGUCCCUAGGGUACCGAGGUAGCCAAAUCAAUCGGAGAACUCAAACUUCACGCUCUGGCGGUAAUUGCAUUCACGUUCUGUCUGGGAAACACAUCAGGAAAAUCACAUAACCGACUGCUAGAUCACGAAAUCGGCCAGUUUAUCCUUUAGGCUCUCCAACAGGUCGCUAGACAGGCAUAAACAACUGCUGCUCCAGUCUGCCAUUGCCUUGCAUUCACGCUGCCUGCGCUGAUAGAACCACACUGCGUCUCCUACCUCAACCUCGAGGAAAUAUUAGCAGUCUUAUCAAAGACAGUUGAUGAAACACGGUUAAGACACGCAGAACCAGUGUCAUACGCCAAGAUAACGUCAAUGCUGCACUGGAGUGGAAACAUACACAAAGGUCUAAUCCCAAGAAUCCGUCUACCAAAAAUAGCUGGCAAGGACAACUCAAGCAAACUGAAGUAGUAGUCACUGAACCCUUUGGGCAGGAGUAUCAAUCAGCAUAGCUUCGCAAGCACAUCUGCAAGAUAUCUUUAACUUAGUUUCACAAGGAUAGGCCACAAUCCAAAGAUAUAAAGGAAUGAGUAGCGACCUGUGUCAAUAAUAAGCUUUACAAGGAGGGAAAGCCAUUAAUGAUAACAGACGUACCCGUGCGGAUCAAAACGAUCAUUCUGGCAGAAGGUCUCAGAACCCGAUAAAGCAAAGACCUGUGGCCUCCUGAACUGAUUCUGCUUUCUCGCUUUAGGAACUGUGGACUGGAUAUGACCCAGCCCUCUCCACAGUGAGAGACAAGUUAACAGUGUUCAAACCGGGCACUUCUGGCAGCCAUUGACCACCUUUAGCCACACUUGAAACAGCUUCAUCCCAUGCAACUGGGUACAGCUGCAUGGACACAAGUGUCCCAGCCCGACCGCAUCAUCAGUCUAGUAACACGUUUAGCAGGGAGCACUAGAGCUCCUCGACCCCUAGGCCUCUUGCAGUCCACGUCGGACUCUGAAACCUUGUGCGAGUGCGUAUGGUAGUCCCACGAUCAUGUCGUCUGCCUUUCUAAUCAACUCUCGUUGAUAGCUCUCGUGCUCUGGUUUUGGAAUCCUGUUUUUCAAAAUCCUGACAGACCAGUCAACGCCACAGUCAGCAUAAACACUGCUGAUCGCUUGAUUCGCAUAGGCGCUGUUGAUCUCGGGAGCGGAAACCCGUUGCUCAAGACUUCACACGAUUUUGAGAAAUUCUCAGCAGGCCUCAUUAUAGGCAGAGUGGUAAUACUUCGAGCAGCUGUUUGAACUUAGCAGCAUACUCAGUAAGCAGACCUGUUGACCGCGCCUAGUCGGCGCGUUGGUAUGGCCAAAUUCCAAAAAACUCUUAUCGCUUUCUUUCCUCUGACAUCUGUCUGGAAAGUACUUCCUCAGGAAUCUCUCUCUGAAACAGCCCAAGUGAUUUCAGACAUUUCCAAGCAGAUUCCAACUCAGUGGGGUAGAACCCACCAAUCAGCAGCUUCUUCUGACAGCAUAUGCCGUACCGACCUGACCUUUCUGGUUAUCGGCACACGGCUCAGUCACUCGGAGAUUAUCUCUAUCUCCUUCAACCACUUCUGGCAGGACCAUCUGGAUGUAGGCUCCUUGAACAUUGUAGGAGAUGUUCUUUGACUCACUCAGUGACUGGCAGCCCAUUCCACAACAUCUCGAUUUCCUCCAAGGUACUCCAGCUUAGCAUACGCUAGAGUCCUCAGCAAUCGCAGCAAUCAUCUCUACCUCUUCCGAGCCAUUCUCUUAUUCUGAAAACCCAAACAAACUAAAGACAAAUGAGUAUGAUAGGGUUACACACACCUAUAGCCGGUCAGGGGAAAAAGAAUAAUUACGACUUCGCGUCGACCGACCUAUGCUCUGAUACCACUAAUGUAACCACCCUUCCUAUAAUACGCGCCAAAACAUUUUAAGUUAUAAAUUAAUAAACAUAUAACAAUCAGAGAGUAAUUAUGCCCUUCAAGGGUGUGCGACACACAAUAUUCAACAAUAUAACGGUCAUGCUCUUUAUUAUAUUCAAACAUAAACAUUUUGCAUAAACACAACGGAUAGAGAUCUCCUCAAUCAUGUAAAAGCAUGUAACAUUCACAUGUAAUUAUUCAACAAGGUAAAUAUCCCAUCCCGAUGUUACAUCUAUCAGAGCACGACCCACUAGGGAGACUACACUAGACUCCAAGCAUUCUGCUUCUACUCAACUCAUUUCUCGUUACCUGUAUGAAAAUAGUUGUUAGGGUGAGUUCCUCAAUCGAUAUAAUAAGCAUUAUAGAAUAUAAUGUCAUGUUAAGUAAUUUAACACAUUAAUCACCCUAAUCGCAACAUACAAUCAGUAACAACACAUCAGCUCAACAUCAUACUCAACACCAACAUAAAAUACAAGUAUAAUCUCAAAUCAUACUCCAUAACAACAAACCACACGUAUAAUAAAUGGAAGUACAUCCAUUAUAUUAACGCCAUACAUACAUUAUGCAAUGAGACUCCACACAUGCGGUACCGACUAUUCUUGAACAUAUAGUUCAAGCUCACCGAUCCCUCCAUGAUACGGCUACUAGCUCACUAGUCCCACUCAUUUGGGACCUAGUGACUCACUCACUAAUUCCUCACCAUGGGAAUUAGCUACAGCCCCGAAGGCUAGACUAUGCACACUAUAUCUAGCAUGACAAACAUCAACAAACAAACCCAUAAUGGUUCACUCACUAAUUCCUCACCAUGGGAAUUAGCUACAGCCCCAAAGGCUAUGCUAUGCACGCUAAUCAUCUAGCAAUACAGCAUCAACAACAAUUCACAAUGGACAUUAUGCUCACACUCUAAGCCAUACAACAGUCCACUCACACAUACAUGCAUAAUAUAUACAUUCACAGCAUUAUGCAUACCAUCAGACAUCAUCAAUACAUGUAUCAAACAUCAUAUCAUGUCAAUUAAUUAAACACAGUAUUAGCACACUCUACUAAUACCUAUACUGCUCAAAACAGCGGGAUAUAAUCCCUAUUACAUCAUACGCCAACAUAGGCCAACUCUCAAUUAUGUACACACAUCAAAAAGCCAAUUUUCCCACUCUGCAACAGUGUUAAACCGGUUAACGCCUGGGUUAACCGGUUAACGGAGCAGGAAACACAUUUUCUGGGCAAAACGUAACAGUGUUAACCGGUUAACGCCGCGGUUAACCGUUAACGCAGGCAAAACAGCACAUUUUCAACAAAUUAUAACAGUGUUAACGGGGUUAACACCCACUGGGUUAAGCCGGUUAACGCAGGCCAAACAGCAGUUCCUGGCGCUAACACAAGGCAGAAUGCAGAAUUCUCGCCAUUUUCCGCCGUUGGAGGGCUUCCGGACCUCCUGAUUCCGAUUCCGUAAAAAGCUAUACGUUCGGAAUUUCACAACUAACCCAAACACAGAUUCAAUUACGAGUUCUAAAUAGCAAUUUAUCCACAUAAUUCUUCAGGCAUCAACAAUCCCAAUUAGGGUUCAAUUAACGGCUUAUCACUACCCAUCACAUAUUAUCCAUAAUACCCAUUAAUCGACGAUAAACCCCCUUACCUGAUUAAUCGCGGCAAAUCUUUGAGCUCCAAGCUUUUCUCUCUUCAACCUUCAGCCCUUGCUCUGUCUCUUUGCCCUUUUCCUCCUUCACGAUCGUUUCUCUGCUUUUCACGUAAAAACCUUUUCUUUUCAAAAUGGACUCUUUUCCUUAUUUCCAACUUAUAUAUAUUUUCCAAUUUAUAUUAUUAUCCCAAUAAUAAUAAUAAUUCAAUAAUAUUUCCAAUUAAUUAAUUAAAUUAAUAAGUAUUAUAUUAAUUUAAAUUAAAUAAUUAGCAUUAUUUCAUCGGGGUGUUACAUUUUUGGCUCAUAUGGGUUUUGAUUAGAGAGAAUGUUGGCCUGGAGUUGAGCAAGUGUCAGGGAUGGUGGAUCUGUUGGUUCUGGUUAGUCAGAGUCAUAAGAUAUGUCAUAGUAAGAUGGAGAGGAAGGAGUUGAAAAGGGAGGUGAGAUUAGUGCAUUAAAGAGUAAGGCCUCAGAGACGGGGAGUGUUGUGGUAGUGAGAUUAAAAGGUUGAAGGGGGAGGGGGUGAUGGGGGGUUAGAGGUAUGAGAUUUAGAGGGAUUUAUAGUGGAUGUUGUGGGUUCAUAGUUUGUGUAGGUGGAGGAUGGUUAAGGCAGAGAGGAAGAUAAUUGCUUCAAAUUAGAGUGUGUGAGAGUACUAGAGAGAACUGACUUACUUGAAGUGGAGGAGACCAGAGGCAUAGGCAAUCUGGUUUCUAAUGGUUCUCCCAGCUUCAAAGUCUUCUUCUUCGAUUUUCUUUCAGAAGGAUCUUGGAUCCUCUUCAUGAAGUUAGGUGAAUGUUCAGGUAGCCAAUCCAUAGAGAAUUCUGAUAUAUCGACUCCUUGAGCUCCCAGAUCCCGGAGGUAGUAAGCAACGACCUUAGGAGGAUUUAUCUUGGAUAAUAGAUAGAGAUCAUUUGGAAUCUUCCUCUGGUCCUUCAGAGCUUCCCAAGACAUAUCUAGAGUUGGUCUUGUUAAGACCCUUUCCAUAACCCUCAUGCUUUUCAGAUUCCUGACAUUCAGAGGUUUACAAACAUCCACGGUCACAUCUUCCAUCAUAUUAUGGGAUAUCAAAUGAUCCAUUAAUCCACUUUCAACCAGAACAUCAGAAAUGAGUCUGCCCAGAGGAAUGUAGUUUCUGGGUUUCAUGUGAUUCCUUGUGUCUCUAACUGAAUCCCUUAGGUAUUUGAAAAGUAGCAUAGGGAGAUUCAACUUUAAUCCUUUGUGAAGGCAGUAAAGGAUACGCUUUUGGUCAGUGUUAAUGUAGUCUGAAGAGUUUGACGUUAUGCGGUGGUGAAUGGUGCCCAGAAUGAUCUUCAACCAAACUCUCAGAUUUUGGUGAAGUUCUUUAUUCUUGGAGGAUCUGCCGUCAGAGCCUUGUUUUAAGAUGGUGGGAAUAAUUUCCUGAGACAUGUAUUGUACCCUAGGGUUUAUGUUGUAGAUUAUCCUUCCCCCAGUUCUCUCAAUGUUCAGAAGCUUUGCAAUUGAUUUUUCAGUGAUGACCAUCUUCACACCCAGAACAUAUGAGACGACACAGUGGUCAUCACAGUCUGCGAAUCUCCAUAACUCCUUGACCAGAAAAGUGUAAAUGGGACCAUAAAUCCUUUGAAAGUAAGUUUCCCAGCCUUGUUUCUUCCGUUCUUCAGUGAGGUCGACUCCAUUAAGUUUCAUAUUCUCAAAAUCAACUAGAGUCUCACACAAGACUUCUAGUUUAUCAAAAGGUUUUGCUAGAUUGAUGUUGUCGCAUCCUGCGAAAAAACAACCGGCGGGACUCAAAUAAAAACACAACACAGAGCCGCCACUGCGCGUUAUUUAUCCCAAAAUAGGGAAAGGAAACGCUCAGAGAAACCUGGAAAGGAAAUGGUCUUGCAACCAAAGAGAAAGGGUAAGGGAGUCGGUUACGCAAGGGGAAGGUAUUAGCACCCCUCACGUCCGUCGUACUCGACGGGAUCCACGUUCUAAAAUAAGAAAAGGUUGCUAAAACAUCACACACACACACAGGGAACGCAGGUGGGGUUAAGAGAAGGGAGCUCGAUAGGACAUCGCAUCCUAUGCCUACAUAUCUCGUCUGGAACGAGAAUCAGAGCCACUGUAGUUCGGCUUACGCACGCCAAACAACACAAAACACACAAACAGAUGGCAAACAUGGAGCCCGACAACCACUCGAUGGAAUUACGUCAGCAUCCGAACCAAAACACACUCAAAAGGGCAAACGUGGAGCCCGACAGCCAAUCACUGGACUUACGUCGGCAUCCGAACCAAAACACACACUCAGAUAACAAGUAAACACACACAAAAAAGAAAAAGGUUGCCCGGAGUGGUCUCGCACGACCACCUGCCUACAUACCUCGUCUGGAACGAGGAUCAGGGCGAUGUAGUUCCCCUGAAAGGGACUGAAUUGCUAACCAGAAACCGGGGAAAGAUACACUACUAGGGAGCUGAGACUCGAGCCUAAUGUUGUCAUGCAUCGUUAACCCUAAGUUCGGUUUUCUAUCCUACUUGCAUAAGCAAACUAACCUAACCAGGAAAGAAGCUAGCACACAAGCAUACAAUCAUAUAUCAUCAAAUGAGAACAGGUAUCUCAAACAAGCAUGUCAAUCAGAUAUCCACAUAACACGCACUAUAGCCAAACAAGGGGGCUCAAUCAAUCAGGUUUGACUGCCUAAGCAAUCGUCUGUACAGGCUGUGUUUGCUCUUAACCUUGCCAUUACGAGGCUAAGGUGAAGCAGAUGAAAGGAUGAAGUGAGGAUGAGACCUCACAGCUCUUAUCCCUAACCAGGGAGAGCUGACAAAUGAGCAUGGGUCCAGAAUAGGGGAACCCUUCUAUACUCGAUGACUCUGACUCAAUGUGCACUGCACAGGAUCUUGGGCUUUUGAUCUCAAUGCUACAACCAUGUAAUGGGAGCAAGGAGAAGACUCACUGAAUAGUGGGGGAUAGGUUGCUUGUCCCUACCUUCCACCAAUUGCCUUACUUGAAGGACUUUUCCUGCUUGGGCUUAAAAAUAAACAAACACAAUCAUUGCCUCUUAAGGAGGACUUCAGACAUUUAUUUGCCCGGCCCGGUAACAGCCGGGUCUCCAGACUACAUGAAGUCAAGAGGACCUACCUCAAUGCAAGUUGCUUAAGCAACGCAAAGCAAAAGUUCACAAGGAACUGAGCAACUAAAGUACCUGGAAACAAUCAAACACAGUUAGUACUCAGACAGACAAAACCAAACAGCAAGUGUUCAAUCAAUCAAACUAUACAAAGCAAUGCACAAUAAAGCAAGCUCAAAGCUCAAGCCUAAGCUUCACCACCUACAAAACAAUGUUAUGUUAGUGUACAAACAUCAACAACAUCAAUUAAAAUUGAUUUGGAUCAUUCUCCAUGUGCAUUAUGCUUUUGAUCCUGAAAAAUCAAGCAAACAUUAGCAACUAGACCACUAGGCCAAGCCUAGGGUCCAAAAGCAAGAAAAACCUUAAAACAGCAAGGUAUUCAUUAACCAACAUCAAAUUAACAUCAAACACAAGCAAACAUCAUUGGUCUCAUGUUUAUAUCAUCCAUCAUGUUCAAUUCAUGCACAAAACAAUCCAUAUGAGGUCAAAUGAACCACCAAGCAUACAAACAGAAGUAUUGCAUUCAAAUCCCUAUCAAAAUAAAUCCAAAAAUUCUCAAAUUAAAUACACCUAAACAGGGGUCAAUCAAGGUCUACCAUGUCAAAUUUGAGCUCAAUUGGGCAAAUGGAACCAUGUCAAUGAAAAUCAACAAAAACAGACACAAUUUCAUGCUUCAAUUCACACCAUCAAUGCAUACAUCCACUUCAAAAAUUCAUAUCUCAUUGGAAACUAAAAAGAAAUGGAUGAGACCAAAACAGGGAGGUCCUAACAUGUGUCUAGUUCAUGCAUAUCAAAUUUCAUGGCCAUACAAUACAAUAUGAGGAUUUCCCAAUCAAUCUACCAACAUGUAUCACAUGAGCUUGCAAUUUCAACAACCAGAAAUGAAAAAUCAUGAUUAAAUUGAAAAUACAGUGAAAAAUCCUACAAAAAUUCAUCAAGCAUCCUAACAUGUCAACAAGUCAUCAUGCAAAAUUUCAGCCAAUUCCAACAUGCAUAGGUCAUCCAAUUAAAUUCAACAAGUUGACAUCAAGAGGUGUGACACAAAUUGUCACACCUAAGUUCCAGAAUUUGCUGCUCUCUAACCAGGUAUCAAAAAUUCAUGAAAUUUACAUAUAAAUAAUCCUCAAUGAGUCAAGAACCACCACAAAAAUUUUCAGCCAUUUAUUUUAUGAUAUGAGUAUUUCAUGAUCAAAUUGCCAAAAUGUAUCAAAAUGUGACAUACAUUAGAAAAGCCUAUGCCAAAUAAAAUAUUUGCCAAGCACAACUUUGACCAAUAGGUCAAAAAAAUCCUACACUCAUCAACAAAGUCAUAGAAAAAAUCUUCACAUUUUUAUGAAUUUUCUACAAUUUUUUAUGAUUUUUUCAAUGUGUUAAUGAUUUUUUGUGAAUUAAGCAAAUUAAUUAAAACUGCACAGUGGCAGUAUUGUAAAUAAAACAGGCGCGGGAGGGAAACCUCCAGUUUGAAUUUUCAAAUGAUUUUUCGGAUCAAACACCCCUAUUUGCCCAGAAAAUUCGUCUUCUCCACUCAACCACUCAAGAACACUCAAAUUUCAAAACAUCACCAAAAUGGACAAGCGAAUAACCACUCGAACCGUCUCACCAAGCACAUUCCAAAUAUCAACUCAAUUUGUCCUAAUUGUUCCUAUAUCAACCGAAUCGAAUCACUUAGGGUUUGUGUUCAUAACUUCAAACUUAGAUUUCUCAAGCUACAGUUAAUCAUUUGCAAAACUAAUUACAUCACCAUGAUCUACAUAGCAAGCUCUAUAAAACGCAUAUGAACAUCGAGCAAAACAUGAUAAUCGAAUUUCUUUCAAACCUGGAAUGGCCGUGUAUGUUCGUGCAGCUUCGAGCCUCACUUCCACAAAACAGAUGAAGAAAAGCUAUGGUGAAGACGAUUGAUGCAUCCAAAUCCACGUGCCUCGGCUUCUAUCGCUCAAAAUCCGAUUUCACCAUUGAUGGAGCUUCUUGGAACAGCCAUGAUUCGAAGCUUGAUUGAUGAUGAGAAGCAAAAACAGUCCUAGCACAUGAUGAUACAAGUUCAAAGCAAAAAGAAUUUCGAGAUUUGGUUCAAGAUUGAGGAAGAUUGAAGGAUUUGAGGGUUUAGUGUUCUUGAUGAAAAUUGAGAGAAUGUGAGAGGUUUUUGAUCUGAAUUUUUGGUGAAUGAUUUUCUGUUAUGAUUAGGAAGUGUUUUAGAAUUUAUAUGGAUGCUUAAUCCUCCACUAAUCCACUUAAUUAACCAAAUUAGCAUGUUAAGUGAAAUUGGUUAUUUUGCAAAUAAGGGCAAAAAUGUAAUUUCCAUGUACAGCUCAUUGCCAGCUGUUUUGACAGCUCAUGCAAACUCCAAAUGUCAUAUGUGAACCAUAGAAACUUGUCCCAUGCUCAUUGGUGUUGUAUUUCUCAAAUUCACAUAUGUGUGGUAAUUGUCCAAUUUUCCCCAUUUCACUUUUCAAGCCAAAUCUCAAUUUAAAAGGCCUAGGCAUGAAAUGAAUAUUCAAACACACUCCAAAUGCCAUUCCUGAGGUGUUGGAAAAAGUCCCAUUCAAAAAUUCCAAUUAUUUUGACAUUUGGACAAUUUUGCCCCUGGUCCAAUUCAGCUGUCCAGUUGAAAAGUGACUUUUUGCCUUGGCCAUUUUUGGGAAAAUCCAAUGAUGCACCCUCAAAGUACAUGUCAAAUGGAGUUUGUGCAUAUAAAGAACUUGCAAUUUGGACAAAGUAUGUGGUAGUUAUGGCCUCCUGAUUACGGGUCUUUUCUGAAAUUCACUGAGCCAUAUUUUGCAAACCACACAUUGGAUUUUCAAGUUCUUGGACUUUUUGGAAAGGUGAGAACAAGAUCUACAACUUUCAUGUUGAACAAUUUUUCAUUUGAAGCUUCCUUGGACAUCUGUUUUUGAGGUCAAAAACUUUCCAUUUUUGGAAACUUCAGUUACAAGUCACUUUCUAUUUUUGGCAGUUUUUGUCCUGACUUGAUUUUCUUCAUUCUUAAGCUUUGAGAUGUCAUAUAACACUUGUUCCAACAUGAAUGAAGUGUAUCCAACUCAUUUCCACCUCCAAAUCCAUCAGAUCAUGUACAGUUGACCACAGUUGACUUUUCAUCUGAUAGAUGAAUCUGGCAAUGCAUAGAUCAAUCUGAGCCCCAAUCUUCAACUGAAAUGGCUCAAGGGUGAAACCCUAGCCUCAAUAAGCACAAUAUAAUCACAAAAUGAACCCCAUAACCAUCAGAAACCUCAUCUCCUGAUCCAGCCCUGAUUGGCCCAAUACAACUGAUUAGGGUUGACCAGUGGUCAAAACCCUAAUCUCAAGGAAUCUUCUUCAAUCUCCUGAUGACAUCCAACCAUGAUGAUGAUGAUGUAUCAAUUCAAACAAGAUGAAGACCAAUAUCCUUGGAAAUCAUGAAACCCUAAUUCACAGUCCAAUCCUCAGAUGGCCCAUGAUCAGUCAUUAAACCCUAGCUUGCACCUUUGAACUUCCUCAUCUCCUGAUUAAGACUUGGGAAGAUGGCUUGCACUAUGUAACCACAUGAUAUGCAAUAUGAAAUGCCUAAUGUCCUAAAAUGAUAUGCAAAUAUGUUAAUGCUAGUCCCAAGAGAGGAGGGCAAAUUUUGAGGUGUUACAGCUGCCCCUAUUCAAUCCACUGUGAACCUGUCGAUAUGAAUAGCCUCGGCUUUCAGAUGAUCAGGAUGAAGAGUGAUUGAAUACCAAGAACAGACGAACAAUUUGCACUCUGAUUGGGAAAAUAAUUAACAACGCCUGUCAGCAUCGGCGAAGAACACAAUCUCGAAACAAAAAUCCGUCGGGAACGGAGAAAGUCGGCCCAAACCCCAAAACAUAAACGUCGACCUGGAUACCAAAACAACACUGUCGACCUGGAUACCAAAACAACACUGUCGACCUGGAUACCAAAAUAAAUGGUAACGCAGGGAUAACCAUGGCUUGAAUACCACAUCCGCUCGGGAUUACCAUUCUUUUUCUUCUUUUCUUGAACCCCGAAAUUUUUCUGCUUUUUUCAUUUUCUUGGCCCGAACACCACUUUGGGUCUGAACACCUCUUCGGUCUGGAUACCACUUCGGUCUGGAUACCGGGGAACUGGCCGGAUUGCCGCAAGCUGCAUCGAUCUAAUCAUCGUGAGCUUCUUCGAUCUGGAAAUCGGAACUGGCCGGAGUGCCACAAGUUCUUCGUCCUGAUGGUUGAGAACCUCUUCGAUCUGGAAAUCGGAAACUGGCCGGAAUGCCACAAGUUCUUCGUCCUGACUGUUGAGAACCUCUUCGAUCUGGAAAUCGGAAACUGGCCGGAAUGCCACAAGUUCUUCGUCCUGACUGUUGAGAACCUCUUCGAUCUGGAAAUCGGAAACUGGCCGGAGUGCCACAAGUUCUUCGUCCUGACUGUUGAGAACCUCUUCGAUCUGGAAAUCGGAAACUGGCCGGAAUGCCACAAGUUCUUCGUCCUGACUGUUGAGAACCUCUUCGAUCUGGAAAUCGGAAACUGGCCGGAGUGCCACAAGUUCUUCGUCCUGAUGGUUGAGAACCUCUUCGAUCUGGAAAUCAGAAACUGGCCGGAAUGCCGCAAGUUCUUCGUCCUGAUGGUUGAGAACUUCUUCGAUCUGGAAAUCGGAAACUGGCCGGAAUGCCACAAGUUCCCACGCUGAGGAUGACAAGCCCUGAGCCGACUGCUCUCUAUUCAACCCUGGCAGACAAACACUUCGCGUUUAGCUGGGGAUUAUCUUCUUUCUUGUUUUUCUUGAACCCCGAAACUUUCUUGAUUAACAUUCCCAUUUCUGCUCGACAGAAACUUACCCUCCAGUAUCGUACUACUGGGGAAUAUCCUUGAUUAAAACCAUGAUGCUAGACUCCUCGGAGUAACACCUUCACUGUCUGAUAAAACCACCUCUCAAACAGUAACCACGGCUUGAGACUAGCUUAUGCCUGCAAUAUGAUGCAUGAUUGAUUUUUUUGCGUAAUGCUCCAUACUUAUGGAAAUGCUACGCGAUUUAUUUUUCUAUGCAACAUGCUAUGCUAUUCUACAUGAUGAAUGCAUAAAAAGUAUCCCCCUCAAGGGACUCUUCUGGGGAGCUCGAGACACUCUGAUGAGGAACUCGUCAACACUCCGCUCUCCAUCCCGCUGGGGAAUAAUACUGCUGCUGGGAAAAGGUAACCCUUGCUGGGGAAACACCUCCUUUGCACCCAAUCCGCUCGAGGAAAUGUUGGGGAUAGGAACCACCAACACUCUGUGGGGAUACAGUCUUUUGACUUGCUGGAGAUAUACAUCCACCUGCUUCGAGGAAACCCUUACAGAUACCUGACGACUUCACUGGGGAAAUGCUCACAGAUACUCUGCUGGGAAACAGCAACCUCCAGGACUGACGACUGGGGAAGCAUUCGAUCUGAAACCCGCUGGGGAUAACCAUCCUGACCCUGCUAGGGGAAAUGAGUGCUACUCCGCUGGGAACGACCCAUCUGAUCCAUAGGUAGAAUACACUGCUGAAGAUGCAGAUAUCCGUCUACUACGGAAACUCGUUCAAUCCACUGGUAGGAUGAACACUGCUGGAGAUAUAUUUCAUUGAAACCCGCUCCACUCGGGGAAUAGCAACCUUCAGACCUGGCUGCUGAGGAAACAUCGUUUUAAACCUGCCGGGGAUAACCAUCUCGACUCGGCUGGGGAAGUCACAAACCUCGAAUCUACUGGGGAUUUGGUCCUCUAAUUCUGCUUGGGGACUUAGUUGAGAAAUGAGAAAAGUUGGUACAGAACACCCGUCGACUCGUCGAACCACGGUAUCCACCUCCCAAUCUCGUAUCAGCUUUCCACUUUUGAGAAUUCCCAGACUCGUCUGGACCUUUUCUGCUCCAUCAUCUUGUAUCGACUCGUCGAACCACGGUAUCCACCUCCCAAUCUCGUAUCAGCUUUCCACUUUUGAGAAUUCCCAGACUCGUCUGGACCUUUUCUGCUCCAUCAUCUUGUAUUCCCAAUCGCUCCGCGCUCGACGGAAAGCGUACUCCUGGGAAUUAUAUAUACUUUUCAAUUUUCCGACUUUGAAGAGUCUUCUUGAUUAAUUCCAAAGGUCGUCGGACGUCUCGUCGUCUCUUCCUUUCAUCAUGCACUCGUCCCUGAUCGGACUCUGCGGGGAAUUACAUACUUUCAAGUCUUCCGACUUUGAAGAGUCUUCUUGAUUAUCAUCAAGGAUCAUCGUACGUCUCGACGUCUUCGUCAUUCUUCAUCCAUUCGUCCCUGAACGAACUCUCUGGGGAUUUCUUUUUAUCAAAAGCUUCCACAUCACAACCUGCAAGUGAGUGACGAAUACCUAACAGUUCCUGCAAAACAGAUCGUCAGAUAAAACCGUGCCCUAGGCGUGUCAAGAUUUCAACACUUGGGUCACUCAAACUUCCAAAUAAGAUUUCAAGCUUUCAAUCUUAUAAACAUGCAUCGGAAGGGACCUGUACGUCUUAAAAUGCAAGAUUCUUUAUCAAAAAUAUCUGGAUGUUUUUGCAAUCAAAGCGGUAAUGAAAAACAAAAACAAAAAUUAUUUGACUGAAUAUGCAUUUUAUUGAUUGAAAAGUGUGUGGCUCAAACCGAGCAAUACAAAGGAAGCAAUUCCUGAAAAGAGGUAAUCGCGCACAAAAGGAAAAAUCUAUCUUAAUGGCAAUGUGAAACCCGUGAUCUCAUCGAGUUCCAACUCGGUUACACCCCAUAUGUCCUCAGACUCUCCGUGCUUUCUGCUUUCUGCCUUCUGAACAAGACGUUUCUGAUUGAUCCCCACCGGGUAUUAUCCAUGAUGCUUUAACCAAAGCGCAAACGAUCGUGCGGGACGCAGUUGUUCGUUUCAAUCCCUCUUUUGCCUGGACCGCCCUUUCGGGUUUUCAGUCUACCGGGAUACCCUUUUUUGCCCAAGUCGCCUUUUCAGGUUUUCGACUUGCCGGGUGUACAUUUUUUCAUUUUAUCCCUAAUUUUUGCCCGAACCUUUCUUUCUGUUUUUGGUUCGCCGGGAUGCCCAUUUUUGCCUGGACUGUUUUAUUCUUUUCGUCCAACGGGUCUUUUCAUACGAAGUAUUUUUUAACUGCGUUUGCAUUCACAGGGGAUGGAAAAUCCUCACCAUCCAUGGUCGUUAACAACAAGGCUCCACCAGAGAAAACCUUCUUGACCACGAAUGGACCUUCAUAAUUCGGUGUCCAUUUGCCCCUUCGAUCGUUUUGAAGAGGAAGGAUCCUUUUCAGCACCAUAUCACCUACGUGACAUACCCGAGGUCGCACUUUCUGUCAAAAGCACGCUUCAUCCGUUGCUGGUAUAACUGCCCAUGACAGAUGGCUGCCAGCCUCUUUUCCUCAAUCAGGCUCAACUCUUCAUACCGGGUCCUUACCCAUUCAGCCUCUUGCAAUUUCACGUCCCUCAGGACUCUCAAAGAGGGAAACUGAACCUCAACAGGUAAUACCGCUUCCAUCCCAUAUACCAAUUUAGAAAGGCUUUGCCCCAGUAGGCGUGCACACUGACGUUCAAUAUCCAGGAUACAAGCUUCAUGCUUAAUCACCGUCGGUGCAUUCAAACGUUAUCCGGGCAACCAAGCUCAUUCACCUUAACCUCCCCAUCAGACAUCAGAAUCCGUUCGGAUUCGGGGUCAUGCCCCUCCUCCGGGAUCGGUUACUCUCAAUCUUUCGAUCAGAGCACCUCGAGAUAUCCUCAUCAGGGAACUCAAACUUCAUCGGUUGAUAAUCCUCAAUGGGUUGCAGAGUGAUGUAAUCAGACAAUACACCCCCCUUGAUUGCUUUCUGGGAGAUAUAUCGAAUAUCGUAUUCAAUCAAAAUCAUUGGCCCUUUCGCAACCCGUCCGGUCAAUGCUGGAUUCUCAAACCCAUACUCGAUCGGACCCAUCUCGGAAAUCCACAAAGUGGUAUGAACCAGCAUAAACUGUCUCAGUCGGCGAGCAGCCUAUGCCAAAGUACAACAAGUUUUCUCGAACAGUGAAUGUAUUGUUUCACAGUCGGUAAACUUUUUGCUAAGGUAAAUUGCAUGCUCUUUUCGACAAGACUCGUCAUGCUGACCCAAUACACCUCAUAGACCCCUCGAGGGCUGUCAAGUACCAGAUUAACAGUCUCUCUCCACAGGAGACAUCAGAAUCAGAGGCUCCUGCAACUUAUACUUUUAUUUUCAAUGCCCCUUGGAAAUCAUUAUUUCACCUGACCGUUUGAUCUCUUUUUUUUCUUGAAUGGGUUCCCACGUGGCUGUUAGGUGAGAUGUGAACCAUGACAGGUAGUUCAAUCUUUCUAAGAGACCACGAACCUUCUUUCUUUAUUCUCGGUUCAGGCAUUUCUUGUUUUUUUUUUUUUUUUUUUUUUUUUAGCAGGAUCAACCUCGAUUUCCCUUUUUACAACGAACCCCAACAUCUUACCGGACCGCACUCUGAUAGUGCACUUAUCUGAAUUCAACCUCAGUUUGAAUUGUCUCAACCGGUCAAACGACUUGCCCCGGUCUGCCAGAUGCCCCUCUUCUGUUUGGGACUUUGCUAUCAUGUCAUAACAUAGCAUUCAAUUUCAUGAUGAAUCAUAUCAUGAAACAAAGUCACCAUGGCCCUCUGAUACAGGCACUGGCGUUCUGCUUCUUUAGAGGACAGUCUUCUCUCCAUGGUAGCUUGUGCGCAAUGACAUUGGUAUCCUAACCUGGCAUAUCCUGACAUGACCAGGUGAAGGCAUCCACAUGCUCUUUCAACAAGGCUACCAUUAUGGUCUCGAUUCGCCUCUGAAGCGGCCUCAUUUUCCUAUUUCCUUCCUGACCUCGGCGGUGCUUGGAAUAACAAUCUCAACUCGCUCCUCAAGCGGCUGAAUCACCUUCUCCUCUUGUUUUGACAAGCUGGCUAACUCCAGCAGAUCACAAUCUUCUUCGUCUUCUUCUUCAACAAGAUAGAUUGGUUUGUCGAAGUCAUAUGAGGUGUAACCAAAUCGUUAUCAACGAGAUCCGGAGAAUUAUUUUUGAAUUCGGAACGAGACAAAUCAAAAAAAGAGAAAAAUGAAAAUAAACAUUGCCAUUUUUAUUUGUUUUUAAACUGCAAAAAUAAAUGAAAAACAGGGAAUCCGGAGAAUUAUUUUUGAAUUCGGAACGAGACAAAUCAAAAAAAGAGAAAAAUGAAAAUAAACAUUGCCAUUUUUAUUUGUUUUUAAACUGCAAAAAUAAAUGAAAAACAGGGAACACCGCUUUUCGACUGAAAAACAUCCAUUUAUUAAUGAUGCAGAAAUGUUGCAAAUUUAAACAUGAGGUGGCCCUUACAAUGGACCAUUACGUGUCGGGCAACACGUAUGGCUUUCAUGCAAAUAAGAACUGAAAACAGAAAAUCAUUACUCUUCCGGAUGAGUGACAGUGCUGAUCUUUUUAAGCCUUCCAGCUUCCUGGUACGCACGGCUUUAUCCAACCAUCAAACUUGCAGUUACCAUCAGUCUCUUUACCCACUGUAUAGGCGUGAUCUGAAUCUAACAUUCCGGCACUUACAAAGGUGAACGACGGACGACGUCCUCUGUUCUGCUCAGACGAGUCUUGACCUGGAUGAUAACCAAUCCCAAACAUAUCCGCUUUUACCACAAUGCCUAUGGUCUGUCCCCAGCCUGGGAUCCCUUCAUUUCUCACCACUUCCAAUGCCUGCUUGUAAGAAGAAAUGGACGGCUUUUUCUCUUUCUCAACACCAACGGCAUUUUCCACCUUGACGGUUUCAACUGCCAGACUGGGUACUUUACCCCUUACAUCGUCCAUUUCUACUUUCAUCUUUCUCUGGACCGAUUCCCCAAUUACUACACACCCCUUUGUAGCGAUGGCUGCACAACAAUCAUCAACACGAGGGAAAGCUCCAUUUUUCGUCGGGCGUUUUGGGACCACAGACAUGGGCAUUCUUAACUGAUCCUUCUCAAUCACCUCUAUCCCUUUCUUGUCCUUCGACAUCACAUUCACCCAUAGGCCAUGGCUCGGCACAGGGUUAGUAUUAACAUCCGACAUCAGCGCAAAGGUGAUUGUCUAGAAUCCACCAAGUCAUCCUGGACGACAUCUUAAAAGCUGCAAUCCUCAACAUGAUGUCCGGGUGCCCCAGCAUGGAACUCGCACCUGACAUUCUCAUCGUAACUGGCAGGCCUCUGAUCAGGUUUCAACAGAGUCAACAUCCUCGGCUGCACCAACCCAAUAUCCUUCAAUCUUUUAAAUAGAACAGCGUAAGUCACAGGCGGCUUAUUGAAAUGACGAUCUGUCGUCCUCCUUCUCAUUUGGCCCACUGCUCUUUGGGUCCUCUGUUGAGGUGACUGUUGCCGCUGUGGUGCAGAUGAAUCACCAACAGGAAUGGUUACGGUGACAGCAUAAGGGUGGUAACGAUCCUUAUCGCGUUCUCUUUUAGUCUGCGCACCACCUGAUUCAACCUUCUUCUUGGGCUGACCACUGUCAAGGGAUUUCUUCACCACAGAGCCAGAGGGAUUUGUUACUUCGGAUGACAGAGUCUUUCCCUGAACUUUCUCCUUGAUCAUCCAGCCCUCAAUCCUUUCCAAUCUCUCGGCCAUGGCUUUCUGCCCCAAGGCAAGCCCUUGCACAACACUGAACAAAUCCCUCACCAUCUCUUACAGUUCGAGGAUGUCGGCGUUGGGAGAAUCCAUCAAUUUGGAUUUGUUGCCCCUAGCAGGAUAUCUGAGCAAACAAGCUAUGCGCACCGGUUGACACCUACAAAACAGCAAAUGGGUUAAUAUGCAUGAAUGCAACGUCUAUCCAUAUGAGGAAGAUUCUGUCUUAACACCUACAAAACAGCAAAUGGGUUAAUAUGCAUGAAUGCAACGUCUAUCCAUAUGAGGAAGAUUCUGUCUUUUGAUCCUGGUUUCAUCGAGACAGAUAAUAUUUCACCAAUAACAUUUUGACAUCCAUAUUCUGAAAUUCAAGAUGUCUCUCAACCAGAUUCUCAAUCAAUAAUGCUCCCAUAUGGCCAGACAUAGGUUUGGUGCAGAGGAAUGCAAAAUGAUGCUGAUGAAUGCAAUGCACUGGGCCAUCCUCCAAAACAUCUGAUCAUCUGUUGCACCGAAGCCUAACUCGGAUCCCUGGACUGAUCACAACCAUCUGAAGGAAAAUGUAACCACAAAUCCAACUCAAGGGUUCCGAAAUAAACGGAACUGACAGAUACAUCAUCAUCAUCAUCAAACCAUCUCUGAGCUGAUACCCAUAACCUCUGAAUCGGCCCCGGGAAUCCUGAAAUAAACGGAUCCCCACUUAUAAAAUCGGCCCAGGGAAUCCUGAAAUAAACGGAUCCCCACUAAUAAAUAACUCGGACAGCACUCCGGCGUCUCAGAAAUAAACGGCCAUAAAUCCGACUUAUAAAUAGGACUCUGAUCCACGGAACAAAAAGUCACCAUCUGAGUCACCAUCAGAACAUGCAUCUGAAAGAAUCACCCUCCCCUCACAGGUAAAUUCUAAACAGGUCAUCCUAUCCGCCUAUUAUCAGAGCUGUUAGCCCGUCUCUAUGAGUUACCCUUUGCCCUUUCGGGUGUGCCAUUGUAGCUCCCUUAAGAUCGUCUAAACCAAAGAUCCGGGAAAUGAUCAGUCACCAGAGUCAACAGCUCAGAUGAAGUAACUCAACCAAAGUGAAAUAUUCCACAAUGGAAAGCACUAUCAAAUGAACCUCGUCCGGCUUGUGGUAUGUCACGUUGCAACAUUAUACUGAUUUAGCAAAUGAGGAACGUGAGACCACACUAAUCCUAGGUGUAUACUCGGGCCUGGGUUUUAGCCCCACUCAGAACACCCACCCCAAACAGAGGAACCACCUGCACAGAGGACGGCAACAAUAAUAGUAUGAUGCAUGCAAGUAUUUAUGCAAAUAUAUACACUGGUUAGAAUAAUAAAUGCAAUAAAUCAAGCAACACAAGCAACCUAAACUAUCCUAGAACGCUAGGAAGGACUCGCUUAGGGAAGAUGGACCAGCACAGGUCUACAUCUAUGUAUAUCCCCAGCAGAGUCGCCAGCUGUCGCAUCCUGCGAAAAAACAACCGGCGGGACUCAAAUAAAAACACAACACAGAGCCGCCACUGCGCGUUAUUUAUCCCAAAAUAGGGAAAGGAAACGCUCAGAGAAACCUGGAAAGGAAAUGGUUUUAUUAUGCUCGAGACGAGCAAAGAGAAAGGGUAAGGGAGUCGGUUACGCAAGGGGAAGGAUAGCACCCUCACGUCCGUCGUACUCCGACGGAUCCACGUUCUAAAAUAAGAAAGGUUGCAUAAAAUCAACCACACACAGGGAACGCAGGUGGGUUAAGAGAAGGCGAGCUCGAUAGGACAUCGGCAUCCUUAUGCCUACAUAUCUGUCUGGAACAAUCAAGUAAUCAGACCACUGUGUUCGGCUUACGCACGCCAAACAACACAAAACGCACAAACAGAUGGCAAACAUGGAGCCCGACAACCACUUGUGGAAUUAUCGUCAGCAUCCGAACCAAAACACACUCAAAAGGCAAAACGUGGAGGCCCGACAGCCAUCACUGGACUUACGUCGGCAUCCGACCAAACACACAAUCAAUACAAGUAAAACACCACGCAAAAAAAGAAAAAGUUGCCCGAGGAGUGGUCUCGCACGACCACCUGCCUAACAUACCUCGUCUGGAACAAGGAUCAGGGCGAUGUAGUUCCCCUCAAGGGAAAGAAAAUCUAGCCAGAAACCAGGAAGACACAACUACCAGGAGCUGGACUCGACCUAGUGUUGUCAUGCAUCGUUACCCUACGUUGAGGUUUCUACCUACUUGCACAACUGCGCAACUACUCCUAUCCAGGAAAGAGCAGCCAUACAAGCUAAUUCAAGCAUCAAGUAAACAUGUCAAACAAAUAUUCACAAGCACACCUAUAACCAAUCAAAAGGGCUCAAACAAUGGAGUUUUGAUGCCGAAGCAAGUCAUCUGUACUGGGUAUGAUUCGCUCUUAACCUUGCCAUUACGAGGCUAAGGUGAAGCAGAUGAAACGGUGAAGUGAGGAUAGACCUCACAGCUCUAUCCCUGACCAAGGGAGAGCUUCUGACAAAGGAAGCGUGGGUCCAGAAUGGAGGGACCCUUCUACGCUCAAAGACUCUGACUCGAAUGGUGGCAACAGCACGAAUCUUGGGUUUGUGUCCAAUGCAUCAACACACAGCCGGUAGUGAGCAGAGGACGACUCACAGAGAAUAGUGGGGAUAGAUUGCAUAUCCCUUCUCCACCAAUUGCCUCAUAAGAGGACUUCAGCACCUGCUUAGGACAAUAUUAAACAAUCACAACAUCGCCUCUUAAGGAGGACUUCAGACAGUUGCCCGGCCAAAUAACAGACGGGUCUCCAGCUACAUGAAGAAUAGAAGUCCUACCUCAAGUGGUUUAAAACCAAGCAGCAGCCCAAGCAAGUUCUUAAAGACUGUAAGCAACUAAAUGUACCUGAAAUCAAUCAAGUAUCAUCAGUACUCAGACAGACAAACAUAAACAGCAAAUGUUAUCAGUCAGACUAUACAGAUAAUGCACACAAAGGCAAACUAUAGCUCAAGCUCAAAGCUUCACAACCUACAAAACAAAUUCAUGUUAGUUCUCAAGCAUCAAACAACACAACUUAAUUGACUUGUUCAUCUCCUUGAGCAUUGUGCUUUUAUCUGAAAAAUCAAGCAAAUGUGAGAAACUGGACCACAUAGGCCAAGCCUAGGGUCCAAAAGUGAGAAAAAUUCUAACAGCAAAACAAUUCUCACCAAACCAAAUUAAUUGACAAUAGAAAGCUCAAUGCCAAUUGAUCCCACAUACUCAUAUCGUUCAUUCAUAUUCAUGUUCGAUGACAAACGUACAAACUAGAUGUACAGAUGCCACCAUCACAAUGUCCAAAACAGAACUGAAUUCCAUCUAGUAUUGAUUGAAUAGUAAAUACCAAAACAAUUCCAAAAAAUCCUCAAAUAUUCACAGGACUAAAACAGGACCUAUUCAAGGUAUGGCAUGUCAAAUUUUAGCUCAAUUGGACAAAGGGAACCAUGUCAAUGAAAAUCAACAAAAACAGACACAAUUAUAUGAGCCAAAUCACAACAUCAACACAUGCAUUCACUUCAAAAAAAUUCAUAAGUCAAUGAAAACAAUAAAGAAAUGAAUGGGACCAAAAGCAUCAUGUCAUAUCAUGUGUCUAUAACCAGCAUACCAAAUUUCAUGUUCAUUCAAUACCAUAUGAGUAUUUCACAAAGAUAAUACCAACCUAUGUCACACAAGCUUGCAUAUUUGACCAACAGAGAUGAAAAAUGCCAAUCAAAUUGAAAAUGCAAUGGAAAAAUCCAGAAAAAUACACAUAGCAUAUUAACAUGUUAAUGAACAUCCAUGCAAAAUUUCAUUCCAUUCUAACAAGCCUAGGUCAUGAAAAUAAAUCCAGAAAGAUGACCUAGCUAGGUGUGACACAAAUUGUCACACCUAGAUUCAAAAAUACCUAACUCAAACACCAGGAAUCCAAAAUUCACAAAAUUUACAUGUAAAUCACCAUUAGCCAGUCCACAAUCAUCACAAGAAUUUUCAAGCAUUUCCUUUAGAGCAUGAGGAUUUCACAAUCAAAAAUGGCAAAAGGUGUCAAAAUUGCAUACAUGUCAAUCAACCCUAGGUCAAACUAAAUUUCCUCCAAGCACAACUUCCAAAAAUAGGUCAAUAAAAUCCUACAGGGAAUUAUGAAGUCAACAAAAAAAUCCUUAUAUUUUUUGGACUUUUAAAUAAUUUUUUAUGAAUUUUUUUAAGGUGUUUAUGAUUUUUUUUGAUAAUUAUUGAAUUAUUAUUAAUUAAUUGAAUUUACAGUGGCAAUCUUGUAACUAAGCACACACGGGCGCGGGAAACGUCCUACUCAAAAAUUCAAACGCAAAACUGGAUCAAACACUCUUAUUUUCCAGAUUUCAUCUCCUUCUUCCCAGAAUUUUCCAGAAAAGCUAUGAACACGAAGAACAUCAAUCUUUCACCAAAAUCUUCAUGCGCAUACUCGUUGGAACCGUCUCAUCACGAGGAUCUCAAAUAUCAUCAUAAUUCAACCUAAUUGUUCCUAUAUCUCAUGGAUCGAAGGAGUUAAGGUUUGCAUUCAAAACUUAAAUUCCAUAUAACUCGAGCUACAGUCCACUAUUCCACAAACCAAUUGCAUCACUAUGAUCUAUGUUCUUCACUCUACAAAACGCAUACAAGCAAUUGAAGAAUCAUGACAUUCGAAAAAUUGAUUACCUGGAAUGGCAGUGUUGGAAUUGGAGUUAUUUGCGCGUUUUCACCUCAAACAGUUGUAGUAGAAGCUUGUGGAAGUCAGAUGCAAUGCUCAGGUUCGGUUGAUUUUGCUCCUAGUGCACAAAAGCUUGAUUCACCAUUGAUGGACCUUGUAUGGACAGUCACGAUCCAAGGCUCCUCUCAAUCCAAUUUGCCAAAACAGUUGCAGAUGAUGAUGAAUAGAGAUCAACACAAAAAGAAUCUUUCGAGUUUGUCAAGAAUUGAGAAAGUUGCUUUGGAUUUGUGGUUUUGUGUUCUUGAGAGAAACUUGAUGAAUUUGGAGAAUUUUGAUGUGAUUUCUGGGAUGCUGAUUUUCUGUUAAUAAUUAGUGAUGAUUAAGAAUAAUACUCAUGAUUAAUCCUGCUUAAUCACACUAAUUUAGCCAAAAUGCAAAGAUUAGCAAAUGUCAUUAUUCCAAACGAGGGGCAAAUGGUAAUUGCAAUGUGCCCAACUCAGACAGCUCACUUGCCACCUCAUACAACCCUAAACACCUGUCAUGAGAGCUGAUUGCACUAGGCUGUUGGAGGUUCAUUGGCAUGUGUAUUUUUAGAAUUUCCACAUGUGAUGGGCACUUGGUUCAAUUGUUCAAUUCAUUUUUUAAAAGCCCAAUUCCAAACCAUGAAGCGCUUGGCAUGUUAUGAAGUAUUUCACAAUUUUCAAAUCUAUUUGUGAAGUGUUGCAAAAAUCCCCAUCCAAAAAAUUCCAUUAUUUGCUCAAGUUGACAAUUUUGCCCCUGGUUCUUUUACUGUUACAGUUGAAUUUGACUUUGUUGCAUUGACCAUUUUUGAAGAAAUUCCAAUUAUGCCACAUGAAAGCACAUCGUCAAAUGAGUUUGUUGCCAUAAUUAAGAUCAUCCAAUUUGCGACACUCCAUGUGGAAGUUAUGCCCGUCGCUAUUAUGGGUCAUUUUUGAAAUUCAUGGACCAUAAACUUGACAACCAUACAUGGGAAUUUCAAGUUCUUGGACUUUUUGGAAAGGUGAGAACAAGAUCUACAACUUUCAUGUUGAACAAUUUUUCAUUUUAAGCUUCCUUGGACACGUGGUCUUGAGGUGAAAAACUUUCCAUUUUUGGAAACUUCUAUUACAAGUCACUUUCUAUUUUUGGCAAUUCUUGUCCUGACUUUAUUUUCUCCAUUCUUGAGCUUUGCAAUGUCAAAUAACACUUGUUCCAACAUGAAUGAAGUGUAUCCAACUCAUUUCCUCCUCCAAAUCCAUCAAAUCAUGUACAGUUGACCACAGUUGACUUUUCAACUGAUAGAUGAAUCUGGCAAUGCAUUGGUCAGUCUGAGCUCCAAUUCUCUGAUGAAAUGGCCCAAGGGUGAAACCCUAGCCUCAAUUAGCUCAAUACAAUCAUGAAAUGAUCCUCAUCUCCAUUGUAGACCCCAUCUCCUGACCAUGCCCUGAUUGGCCCAAUGCAACUGAUUAGGGUUGACCAGUGGUCAAAACCCUAAUCUCAAGGAAUCUGCUUCAACACUUGAUGAUAACAAGACCAUGAUGAUGAUGAUGUAUCACUUCAAUCACGAUGAAGACCAAUCUUCCACAAAACCCUAAUUUGGACCUCCACAUCCUCAGAUGAUUAAUGACCAGUCCAAUGAAACCCUAGCUUGCACUUUGACUUCCUCAUCUUCUGAUCAAGACUUGUGAGGAUGACUUGCACAAUGUAACCACAUGAUAUGCAAUAUGCAAUGCCUAAUGACCUAAAAAUGUUAUGCAAUAUGAUAUGCUAGUCCCAAGAGAGGAGGGCAAAUUUUGAGGUGUUACAGAUGUGUGCUGGACGAUUAAGAACAUGAGGUUCCUUGUAGGUAGUGAAUGUUGUUGUAGCAGUUGUAGUAGAAGUUUAUUGAGGAACGUUAGCAGGUUGUUCAGUAGCUUUCAUCUGUUGUGAGUAAUUGUAAACUUGUUAUUGUUAGGAGUCCAUUUGAAGAAGAGAAUGUUUGAAUGUUGAAGAAGAUGAAGAACAAAUUAAGAACUUUCGAGAGAGUUUUGGUAACAACGGUUUUGUGUGGGUUUGUGAGUGAAAACGUGUGAGAGUGGGAGUUGUGACAAAAAUAUAUACGCUAUGUUUAACAUGCAAAACGACAUCAUUAAUUGAGAAUAAUAAAUAGUAAAAAAAAUUAAUGCACACAGAAAUUUGAGUUGACACACAAGGGGAAAUUAAUUUCAUCUAAUCAUGGAUGUCUAAUCCCCAAAAUAAGCACAUUGCUCGAGGAGAUCUCAAUAGUUUGACUCUUGAGUUCUGUGCUAGACAGUUGUCUAGAAGAUCCAAGGCUAGACGCAAGAGAGGCCACGUGUUGAUGUAUCUGACCUUAAGAAAACUAAGAGAUUUUAUCCUGAGGAUUUCUGAUUUAGAUUACAUCUAACUGGUUGAGGUAUUAGAAUCAGACCCAGAUGACAAAUAGUUUUUAAGUUAGAGCCUAUUUUGACACUUUAGAGAAGGAGCACAGAUUUUAGACUCAUUAUGGGCAAUCUGCCAUGUUCAAAUGUUUCAGAAUGAAUGAGAAUCUAUCUUCAGCGAGGAGUUUUGUGAAGAUAUCAGCCCAUUGGUGGUUUGUAUCAAUGAAUUUUAAAGUAAUUACCCCUUCCUAAACAUAGUCUCUAAUAAAAUGAUAUUUAAUUUCUAUGUGCUUUGCUCUGGAGUGCAUAAUAUGAUUCUUACUUAAACAUAUGGCAGCCGUAUUAUCACAAAAUAUAGGAAUGUUACUCUCGUAUAUCUGAAGGUCCUCUAGUUGAUUCUUCAUCCAGAGCAUCUGAGUAGUGCAUAGUGAAGCUGAGAUGUAUUCUACUUCUGCAGUCGAGAGUGUUAUGGUUGAUUGUCUCUUGUUAGCCCAUGAAAUGAGGUUUCCUCCUAGAAAUUGACAGUUUCCAUAUGUACUCUUCCAUUCCAACCUGUCUCCAGCGUAAUCUGCAUCAUAAUAUCCAGAAAUCCUAUACUAUGAUGUUUUUUCAUAUAUCAGAGCAAGGUUAGGCGUUCCUUUCAGAUACCUUAGGAUUCUCUUAAAAACUAUAAGUGAGAUUCCCUUGGGUCUGACUGGAAUCUGGCACAGAGACAAAAGCUGAAUAGGAUAUUUGGGCGAGUAGCGGUCAUAUAGAGAAGAGAACCUAUCAUACCAUGAUAGAAUUUCUAACAAACCUUUUGACUUACCUCUCUUUCUCUAGAAUGCAUGUGGGGUGCAUGAGAGUCUUUGCUGGUUUGCUAUCUGACAUUUCAAACUUCUCCAGAAUGUCUUUUAUGUAUUUGCUUUGAUAAAUAUAUGUUACAUCUGAUGUUUGAUUGAUUUGGAUUCCUAGAAAGAACUUUAGUUCUUGCAUCAAACUCAUUUCAAAUUCAGCCUGCAUUAGCUCAGAAAAUUCUUGACAGUCAGAGGGAUUAGCAGAACUAAAAAUUAUGUCAUCAACAUAUAUUUGACAGAUCAUGAGGUUAUUUUUGAUAUUUUUACAAAAGAGUGUAAAAUCAACUUUGCCUCUAAUAAAAUCAUUUCCCAGAAGAAAUGCACUUAGUCUUUCAUAUCAAGCUCUAGAAGCUUGUUUUAGACGGUACAAAGAUUUUUUCAGUUUAAAAACAUAUUUUGGACACUUUGAGUUUUCAAAACCAGGAGGCUGAUGAACAUACACUUCUUCAGAGAUAUAUCCAAUCAGAAAUGCACUCUUCACAUCCAUCUGAUAUAGUUUGAUGGAAUAAUUUACAGCAAAAGAUACAAGGAAGCGAAUAGGUUCUAACCUGGAGACUGGUGCAAAGGUUUCAUUGUAGUCAAUACCUUCUUGUUGAUUAUAACCUUGUGCUACCAGUCGUGCUUUAUUUCUGACCACUUCACCCUUUUAAUUUAGUUUAUUUUUAUACACCCAUUUGGUUCCAAUUACAUGGAUUCCCUUAGAUUUUGGUACAAGAUCCCAGACAUCAUUCUUUGCAAAUUGAUCAAGUUCUUCUUUCAUUGCCAGAAUCCAUUCUUUGUCUUGAAGUGCUUCUUCACAUGAUGUUGGCUCUAUCAGAGAUACUAGUCGCAGAAGCAUUUCUUUAGAUCCCUUGAAUGUUGACCUUGUUCUGACAAGUUCAUCUUUAAUUUCCAUAAUUAAAUUUUCAGAGACAUUUUGUCUAGUUAUUGAUCUUUUCUGGUUUAAAGUGGCUUCAGGAGCUUCUGAAGUACUAUUUUCUACUUCUUCGGAUUCUUUAGCCUUUUCCUCAGAGUCUGCAAGGGUUAUCUAUAAAUCUGCAAAAUUAUCACUUAGCUUUGACUUUUCAAGGUCAAGCUUGUCGUCAAAUUUGACAUGUAUUGAUUCUUCCACAAUUAAUGUUUAUGUAUUGUAUACUCUGUAACCUUUAGAGCAUUAUGAGUAUCCUAACAUAAUACAUUUAUGUGCUUUAGAAUCAAGCUUGUUCAGAUAAUCUUUAGUGUUAAGGAUAAAGCAAGAACAUCCAAAUGGAUGAAAAUAAGAGAUGUUGGGUUUUCUUCCCUAACACAAUUCAUAAGGAGUCUUCUCUAGAAUAGGUCUAACAGAGAUUCUAUUCUGAAUAUAACACGUUGUAUUCACUGCUUCGGCCCAGAAGUGCUUGGCUACACUUGUUUCAUUGAUCAUGGUUCUGGCCAUUUCUUGAAGGGUGUUAUUCUUCCUUUCUACAACUCCAUUUUAUUGUGGAGUUCUAGGACAUGAGAAAUCAUGUGAUAUCCCAUUAGAAUCAAAAUAGUUCUUCAAAUAAUUUGUUUUCAAAUUCCCCACCAUGAUCACUUCUGACUCUAAUGAUUUUAGAGUUAAAUUCAUUUUGCACUUUUGAGCAUAAACUAGUAAACACAGAGUGUGACUCAUUCUUGUGUUUAAGGAAGCAUACCCAUAUCCAACGACUAUAAUCAUCAACAAUGACAAGUCCAUACUUCUUACCAUUAACUGAGGAUGUUUUAAUAGGUCCAAAUAAUUCAAUAUGAAGAAGUUACAGAGGUUUGGAGGUAUAAACAAUAUUUUUAUUUUUUAAAGACGUUUUAGAAAAUUUUCCCUUCUGGCAUGCUUCACAAAGAGCAUCUGAAAAAAACUUCAUAUUAGGUAGGCCUCUGACUAGCUCAAGUUUAUUUAGCUGAGAAAUCCUCCUCAUGCUAAUGUGGCCCAAGCGUUUGUGCCAUACCCAUUGCUCUUCGUUUACUGACAUUAAAAAUUUUACAUUCUGAUCUUUUAAAUCUGAAAGUUUAAUUUUAUAAAUGUUGUUCUUCCUCUUACCAGUGAAAAUAAUUGUGCCAUUUUAUGAUUAAUAGACUUGCACGUUUUUUGAUUGAAGAUUAUAUCAUAACCGUUAUCACUUAAUUGACUUAUGGAUAAUAGGUUAUUCAUUAAUCCUUCUACGUAAAGAACAUCAUAAAUAUGUUGGUGUAAGCCCUAGAGGCCAAUACUUUUUGGUACUUGUAUCGAAUUAUUUAUUAAUAAUAAAAGGCAUUUUCUUUAUUAUGGCUGAUUAAUAAAGUCCCUAGAAUAGAUAGUCCGUUUAAUGUAUUAAGUGUGACUUAAUCAUGAGAACACAUUAAACACAAGGACACUAUUCUUAAAGUAUCCGUAGUCGAGCUUUAGUGUGAAGUGGGAUAACAUUAAAGCAUUAAGACUAUUAUGUUUGUAGACUGAUGAUCACAUCUCAUGGAUCAUGGAUAAAGAGUUAUCAAGUCUUAAACAUAGGUAUGAAUAUUAGGAGUAAUAUUUAUACCGGAUUGACCCGCUAUGAGAAUACUAUAUAGAAAGUUAUGCAAAGUGUCAUAAGUUAUUCUCAUGGUGAUAAUAGUGUAUACCACUCUUCGACCUGAAACCACUAUGGAUCCUAGAUGUAGAGUCGAGUGCUUUAUUGCUGAUCCAACGUUGUCCGUAACUGGAUAACCAUAAAGACAGUUGAUGGGUACUCCACGAAGCAUGCUGAGGGACAUGAGUGACCUAGAUGGAAUUUGCCCAUCCUGCAUAACAGGAUAAAUGUCUAUGGGCCCAAUAUUGAACUGGACAAGGAUGACACGGUCUAUGCCUUGUGUUCAAUAUAGACAUAAGGGCAAAAGGGUAAUUAUACACAUAAGUAUUAUCACAGAAGGAAUUGUCAGAUCACAUGACAUUUUCGUGUCUUGGGUAGCAGUGAUGUGUUGCUAGAUACCGCUCACUGUUUAUUAUGUUAAAUGCGUGAUUUAAUAUAAUUGCCAACGUCACGAAAACCUACAGGGUCACACACAAAGGACGGAUUGAUGAGAGAUAGAGUAACUAAGGAAUACCGUAAGGUACGGUGCCCUUAAGUGAAUUAUAGAACAUCGUAAGGUACGGUGUACUUGAGUAGAAUACGAAAUAUGGUAAGGUACCAUGAGCUUAAGUGAUUUUGGGCAUAUUAUAAGAUAUGGGCCAAAAUACACUUAAGUGGGCUUUUAGCUUGAAGCCCACACAAGUGGUUCUAUAAAUAGAACCCUUGUGCAGAAGCAAAUAUUUGCGGUUGCAUUAUUUUCGUUUUCUCUCACUCUCUCUCUCUCACUCAAAGCCUUCAUUCGUACCAGCUAGCACUGAGAUUGAAGGAACCCGUUCGUGUGGACUGAGUAGAGACGUUGUCAUCGUUCGACGUUCGUGAUCGCUUCGUGGAUCUGCAUCAAAGGUUUUGAUCGUCACAAGAGAUCUGCACCAAAGGUUUCAAUUGUCACAAGAGGUAAAUAUUCUAUCACUGAUCAUGACCAUUCGUAAGGAUCUCUAAAGGAGAAAAUUUUAAUUUCCCCUGCGUUUUGGACCACAAUUCUCCUUCAAAAUAGAUGGAAGAGAUCCAUUAUCAACCGUUCCGGAACCUCUGAUUCUUCCUUUCUGAUUUCCUCCAAAUCCUACAAAGCAAACAUCUUUAAGUUCCAGGCUUUGGAACAUAUGCUUUCUUCCCGUCAUGUGUCGCGAGCAUACAGAGUCCAGGUACCAUGAUUGGUGUCUUAACUCUGCUGCACAAGAUAUCUGCAAAAUAUACUAUUUUAUCUUUUGGUAUCCAGAAUCUUUUGGGUCCUUUAUGAUUAGUUCUCCCAGAGUUUCUGAAAACUUUGGGUUUUCUAGCAUUGUUAAAACCUUGUGUUUGUGCGUGUGUGUAAUGAUAUGAAAAAGGAGAUUUUGGCUUAUCCUCUGCAGAAGGUAUUUGUUCAUCUUCAUCAGAGUCAUAUCCAAUUCCUAUUUUCUUAUUGUGACUAACACCAUAAAUCAUAGAAGCCAUUUUGCUUCUUUCAAGCCCAUUUUUCAGAAAUUUAUGAAACGCCUUUUCAUAUUUAUAUGUGAUGGUAUUAGAAGUUUGUGGAGCCUUGGACAUAGUUUCUUCAAGUUUUAAACAUUUUUAAGUUGAAAAUUCAUUUUCUUUUUCUAAAACAAAAAUGUUUUCUUUUAGUUCAGAAACUUCUAUCUCAAGCUUAUAACACUCUUGAACAGUUUCUUCAUGGACCCUUUUUAGGACCUUGAAUUUCUAUGAAAGCUUCUGAUAGGAGUUUAGAGAUUCUGAUAGGCAAGCUUCUAGGUCAGAGCGAGAGAGAUCAGAAAAUACCUCUUCGGGGUCAGAUUCCUUUUCAGAUGUACUUCUAGAUGAGGUAGCCAUGAAUGCAACAUUUGCAUGUUCUAGUUCAGAGUCUGAUCCUGAGACGUCAUAUUCAGAGUCAUCCCAUGUAGCCAUGAGCCCCUUCUUAGUUUUGAAGGAGUUUUUCUUGAAUCCUUCUUUUCUGGAACUGUCUUUCUUGAGCUUGGGACAUUCGUUUUUAUAAUGUCAUGGUUCUUUACAUUCAUAGUAGGUUACCUCUUUGCUUGGUCUGUUUCUGGAAGUAGAUUCUGAGCGAUCUCUCUUCUGUCUAGGUCUCCUGAAGUUAUUAUUCCUCUAAGAAGAAUUGUCUCUCUUCGUCAUCAGAUUCGUGUUUCUCAGAAUCAUCAUCUUCUUCUUCAGCUUGAGGAGCUUUGUUUCUUUAUGGCUUGCUUCUUUCAGGUUUGGACUUCAGAGCCACUGAUUUGCUUUUCUUUUGAGGUUCGUCUUCCUCUAAUUUUAUCUCAUGACUCUUGAGGGAGCUGAUGAGUUCUUCCGGGCUUAUAUUGUUCAAAUCCUUUGAUAGUUUUAAGGCAGUGACCAUUGGUCUCCACUUCUUUGGCAGACUUCUGAUAAUCUUUUUGACAUGAUCCGCAGUUGUGUAUCCUUUGUCCAGAACCUUGAGUCCAACAAUUAAAGUUUGAAAUCUAGAAACCAUUACCUAUACAGCUUCAUCGUCCUCCAUUUUGAAGGCUUCAUAUUUUUGGAUUAAGGCUAGAGCCUUAGUUUCCUUGACUUGAUUAUUGCCUCCGUGAGUCAUCUUUAGGGAGUCAAAUAUUUCUUUAGUUGUAUCCCUAUUGGUGAUCUUUUCAUAUUCAUUGUAGGAUAUGGCGUUCAGCAGAAUCGUUCUGGCCUUAUGAUGAUUUUUGAAGUCUCGCUUCUGAUCAUCACUCAUUUUGUUCCUAGCAAUGACAACUCCAGGAGCAGAUACAAGUGGUUCAUAACCAAUUGUAACCAUGUCCCAUAAGUCAGUGUCAUAGCCUAGAAAGAAGCUUUCGAUUCUAUCAUUCCAAUAAUCAAAUUUCUCUCCAUCAAAGAUUGGAGGUUUGGCGUUGUAGUUAUCUCUUUCAUUGGUGGUAGUCAUGAUGUUUUUCCCAUGCUGGAUCACUCUACACUAUUAAGUUUUUGAUUAUAAAAUCAAUAACAGUGUCGAAGCUCUGAUACCAAUUGAAGAUAGAGAAAAAUAAGAAAGGGGGGUUUGAAUUGUUUUCCCAGACAAUAAUUUUGUUUGCAAACAACACUCAUACGAAAAUUCAAGGCAAACAACAUAGAGGUUUAUCCUGGUUUGCUUGAAAUUCAAAGUUACUCCAGUCCACCCGACCAAGGUGAUUUCGCCUUCAAAAAGGACUUAAUCCACUAGUCUUGAUAGAUUACAAAAACGUCUAAGAGUCCAAAGAUCUAUUAGCCCUCUCAAGUUUACAGACUUCACAAGUCACUUGAGGAAAUAUUACAACAGAUAAUAAAGAAUUACAAGAGGUGUUUUAUGCUUCUAAGUAUGCAGAAUGAACACAGUAGGAACAAUUAAAUCUCACACUGAUGAGCAAAAACUCGUGUGAAAGAGUGAAGCAAGAAUUAGAGUUUUGAAUUUGUGAUGAGCAGGAUUCUUGUUGAGUAUUUUCGUGUAUUAUUAUGAUGAAGGUUAGACCUUUAUAUAGUGCUUGGAGAUGAUACCGUUGUGUGAUGCAUUGAUGCUGAUAUCUUUUCCAAUGAUGAAACUUAAUUUCCAUUAAGUUUGUUUUCCUUUCCAUAGCAGUUUAGGAGAGUACUUAACUUUCUCCAUAUAUAGGUUUAUACCAUAUUUGGAAUACUUUGUUGUUAAGUCUUGAUUUGUUCUGAUAGGUGAGACUCAGAGUGCGCGGAGUUUAGAUACUUUACUCAGAUGUCGUAUUCUUCAGAUGGUUGCCUGAUGUGUUCAUUAGAACCUCUUGAGUUAUCUUAAACUUUAUGUUCCUCAGAUGUAGUGGUCUUUAGAGACUUCAGAGGAGAGACCUUUCAGAUAUAGAAGGUCAGAGCCUUGAGUCAUUAGAGCGACGUAUUCAGUUGUAAGUUCAACUGUUCUGGAUUUUCUAAACGCUUAGACAGUGUUUCUUCAGAUGCAUUAAUCAUUAGAGCCCUGCACACUUAGAUAACUUUUUUUAGGAUACCAAAAUGGUUCAUCCGUUUUUUAUCAUCAAAACUUAUGGAUUAAUUGUAGAAUCAAAAUCUUGUUCUAAUAGAUAUUAGACUCCUAGUUCUUAUCAUAAGAUUUCAGAGCUUUUACGGGUGUGAUGUUUGUUAUUAACACCUACCUGACAUAUCUUAUUUGGGAGGAGCUAUAUUCUCUCCCUAGCAAAAUCCCCAAUGAUGGUGUGGGUGGUCUUCUUGUAGCUUUGAUUGAACAUUCUCAUGAGAAGAUGGUAAGAGAAGUGAUAAUGUGAAACUAUACCGUAUAUUUGACUUGAUUCACAUGCAUUUUAGUAUAAUUAUGUGUAUGUUUUUAUUGUAUUAUUCUGGUGUUGUUGCCCUGUUUCGGGUACUUGUCAAUGUAGAAAUCACGUGCGAGAACGAGAUAAAGAAAAGAGAAGAAAUGAAGAAAAGAAGAAAAAGGCUGAAAUUGCAGGUUCUGGGCCUGUGGUGUUCGCCAUGGGCUUAUGGAGUUCGCCACGUCCCCCUGCCAUAUCACCCCAAGUUUAAGUAUCAUGGUGUUUGCCACAAGCACGCAUUGCAGUUUUUCAGCAACUACAUAAACUUGGUCAAGGACUCCCCUAAGUUCUCUCAACCACUUCUACACGAGUUUAGGUUAAUUUCAGCUCCACCUACCAGUAUAAGAAGGCAGUUUCAUGAAGAAAAAAAAAGGAUCCAAGUUUUAUCGUGUAAUUUUGACUUUUAGGCUUAAGCAUAAACACUUGAAAAGUGAUAGUUCUUCCACAUCGGGAGGCUAUUGCAACCUAGUUCUUAUGUUUUUACUUGUUGCUUGGAUCAAGCGUGCCAGCAUCAUUUGUAUUUCCAGUUUGAUAUUUGUACUCGAAGAAUUCUCCGCAGUUUAAUCCAAUUUUUUUAUUCAUCAGGUUCUUUUCAUUGCAUAUUUCUUUAGUUUCCGAUUUCAUUUGGUCUAAUUGCAUAAUAUUAUUUGUAUGCUUGCAAUUCUGGAUUUUGUUCAUGAUUAUUUUUAUGUUUAAUAAAUAUAACUGCAUGAUUAAGUAUCAAACCAUGUUUGGCUAAAGUUUUUGAUAUCGGUAUGUAAGGACCGUCGUCCCGACGGGAUUCGGUAAUAACUAGUGUUAAUUUUUAUAAGCUAUUUUUCUGGCUGUGAUUUUCAAUUCUAAUUUAAAAAGUUUUUUACACGAGAGUAAAAAGUCAUUAAGGUUAUAAAUCAACAGAGCGAGAGUUUGAGAUUUUAACCGGAUAGUGGUUUCUAUGCAUUAAUCCUAAACAUAGUGAGAGUGUUUUAGGAUUAAUUAUGAUUUAUCAAUUUCCGAAAAUUACUUUUAAUUCAGAUGGAUGAGCGAGAGCAAAACAUUUUGGGUUAAGAGUAUAGCUCGAGUCAAUAACACGAGAGUGUGAGGCAAAGUCUUUUAAUUUGAUAUUUCCUACUGAAAAGUGAUUUACUUUAUUUUAUGCUAAUUAUUUAUCGAAUCCUCGAAGAAUGGUGUAAUCUACAUACCGAUGUCUCCUUAUUGAAUAUUUUAAUUAUAUUAUUAUUUCCCAUUUAAUUUUAUUUCUAGUUUCCUUUAAUUUAACAAGAAAAGAAAAGAAUCAUUGACCUUGGCUUUACAUAGUAACUUUAGAUAACGAUAAUUUGACUUUUGGUCAUUUGGAUUCGAUAUCUUUUCAAAAUUACGUGAUACGACUCUGCAUUUGCAGUUAGACAUACUAAGUCGCGAUCAAGAAACUGUGAGUAAAUGGUACGUAUGACCCAAAUUUAUUUUAUCAUGGCCUAGGAUGGGCGCUGAUUGUACUUACUAAAAGUACAUAUGUGUAACAACCCCUAGUGGAUAUGGAUUGUCAGAGGCUUUAGGGUUGUAGUGGUAUUGAGAGCUAACACGCUUUAGGUGAGUAGCUACUGCAUUAGAGUUUUUGUGUGUGUUGUUAGUAGGUAUUAUGUAUCACGAUAUUAAGGUAUUUAUACUCCCUUGGACACGUAUCCAAGUCUUCCUAGGAUACCUCAAUCACCAUAGAAGUUGGUGUUUAAUUCUGUGAAAUGCAAGGAGUGUAGUUGAGUCCCAUAAUCUUCAAUGCAACGUGCGUUGAGCUAAUACAUGUUUUAUGCACGAUCGUACAUAAUGGACAGAGACACUAAAGUCUCAGAUGACGUAUUCAAAAAGGGCGUUUUAUAUGAAAGAAAAGCGCUUAAACCAAUAAAAGGGAUUGAUAAGGGAUUGAUAAGGGUGAUGGGCUAAACAUAUGACUUUCUCCCCGCCCCAAGAUCUCUUCCAAUUAUAGGAUUAAAAACUAUUUUUCAUUAAUAUAAACUAGUUUUAAUUUUAUAUAUAUACAUGUUUUUUUAAUUAAAAAUAAUUAAUAUCUUUUACAACUAAACAUGUUUCUUAACUAAAUCCGUUUUUUUAUUAGCUAACUUAAUUAAAAAAUAAUUUUAGUAGAAUUUUUUCAAAAGGAAACUAAUUCUCUAAAGAAAUUUUCAAGAAACACUCGCGAAUUUGACGAAUAGGAAAGGGAUGAAUGAGGGAUUCUAAAAAAUUAAAGAGCAUAUAAAAAUAUGCAAGGAAGAAAAACUCAUGUUUUUGGUGUGCUUUGAGAAAUGACUCAAGUUCUUUCUUUCCAUGAACGAAUGAGUCAAAUCAUUUGAUUAUUAAUGAAAAGAACAAUAAAAUGGACAAAAACGUGGAAGAGAAUUCAAGGAGUGGAGUUUUCUCAAAGCAAGAGGAAGAGGAAAUCAAACGAUAUAGCAUAUAUCUCCCAAGCCCUAAACCUAUACUCAUCUUACUCACUUAAUGUUGAUUUUAACUGUAUUCACUCAAAAUUUACAAACUAAUCGUCAAGAAUGACAUGUCAAUUUUAUUUUUAUUUUUAAAAUUAAAAUAUGUAUUGCAAAAAAGAAGAUUAAAUAUCAAACCACAACACCCUAACCUAGUCGGUUGGUCAAACACUAUGUGAUAUUAAUUAUUGACAUCAUUAUCUUCAUUUGCAAAAUUUAUAUAUUCAUUGUAGCACACCUUAAAGAAAAAUCUUCAACUAUAUAAACAAUUGAAAUAUUAAAAACUUGUUAAAUUUGAAACUUAAAUAUUUUAUUUUUUCGAAUCACCACUCACAUUAGAGCUUUGACCCUUGGCACUUAUUCCAAUAUGAUUCUUCUAUAUUCAUUGUUCCAAAAUCAAGUAACAAGUUGCUAGUGUGAACGCAUCCAUCUCUUUGAAUUCUAACAACCAUCAUCUCCAUCCAAUAGUUAAAUCAUAUUCCCUUUUUUUUUUAAGUAUCAUUUUUUUAAAAAAACUAUUAUUUUUUAAUUAUCAUCUAUAAAUUUUAAGGUGGUAUUAAUUGUAAUUUUAUAAAAAUUACUCUUUAAUAAUUAUUAUAGAAAAAAAAUGAAUAUAAUAAAUAAUUAAAGAUAUUAUAGGUAAAAGAAAAAUUAUUAUUUAAAAAGUAAUAAUAAUAAUUAACCUUUUUGAUAUGUAUAAAAAAAAAUACACUUAAAAAAACAAAUGAAAUAGUUAAUGCGAGGACUAACCCAUUUCAACCUAACCUACCGUAUGAAACAAUAAACACAAUAGUAUAUACAAUAUUUAUUUAUUUAAGACGGAUAAAAGUUUGUUGUUUAUUUGAUUUGGAAGGAAGAAUUUGUUAGCAGCAUGAAUUAAAUAUUCUUGAAUCUCCUUCUACAAUUCUUUUUCAACAUUAUUACACUCUACUUAUGAAACAAUAUAAGAUUAUAAGUAUAAAUAAUUAGCCAAUGGUAUUAAGCUAUAGUUUGUUGAAUAUAGAGAUAAAGAGAAGUGUUCAAAGUUGACAUUUCAAACGCUAUUACGUGUUUUAGUUCUCAUCAAUAGUUGUAUAUAUACUUCAUUCUCUAUAAAUCCAACUUUCAACAAACCACCACAAAUAGAGAUCAAACUCACUAAAUUUGGAGAAACAAAUAAUAGAGAAACAUGCCAAUGCUGCAAACCUCCAACUGUAUCUCUACAAAAUCAGUGAUAAUUACCAUGUAAGUAUAUGCUCCUUCGGUUUUUCAAAUAUUGAAUAUUUUACAGAACUUUUUUGUUUAUUUUCAUUUAUUAUUUUCAAAAGUUAAAACAGUAUUAAUCAUUAGUUUGAUAAAAUCAUUAUUUUUUAAUUAUUUAUUGUGAAAUAAGAUAAUAUUCAAACCGACAGAAAAUUUUAAAAAGUUUAGAAAAUUAAUACGAAUUAGAGAAAUUUAAUAAUUAGAAGAAAGAAGAGUAAUGAAAAAUAGAGAUUAUAGUUGAAAAAAUUAUUAAUAUUAUAUCAAAAUUAUAACUUAUAAUUUAAAACAAUUUAAAACAGAAUUAAUAAAUAGUUAAGGUUUAAAAAAAGUAAAAUAAUUCCAAAGACCGUACAUGUCUUUUUAUUAAUUGUUUGAAGAGAUUCUUCAUUUUCUUUUGUAAUUUCUCACUAAGAAAUAGCCUCUCUCAAAAAAUGAAUUUUUUUUUAAAUAUCCAGAUUUUUCAAAAAAAAUUCAAAAAUACACCAUUUUUUCAAAAAAUUACAAAAAUGGCUAAUUUUGGCCCUAAAAUACACCUAGGCGCCACCCUAGUUGGCGCCUACCCUUAAAGGGUAGGGCAAGUCGCCACUAGGAGUGGCGCCUACCCUUAAAAUUUUUUUUUUUUUAAUUUUUAAUAUGUUUUUUUUUUUUUAAUUUUUUUUAAUUUAUUAAUUUAGAUUUAUNCUGUGAGUAAAUGGUCGUAUGACCCCAAAUUUAUUUUAUCAUGCCUAGGAUGGCGCUGAUUGUACUUACUAAAAGUACAUAUGUGUAACAACCCCUAGUGGAUAUGGAUUGUCAGAGGCUUUAGGGUUGUAGUGGUAUUGAGAGCUAACACGCUUUAGGUGAAUAGCUACUGCAUUAGAGUUUUUGUGUGUGUGUUAGUAGGUAGUUAUGUAUCACGAUAUUAAGGUAUUUAUACUCCUUGGACACGUAUCCAAGUCUUCCUAGGAUACCUCAAUCACCAUAGAAGUUGGUGUUUAAUUCUGUGAAAUUGCAAGGAGUGUAGUUGAGUCCCAUAAAUCUUCAAUGCAACGUGCGUUGAGCUAAUACAUGUUUUAUGCACGAUCGUACAUAAUGGACAGAGACACUAAAGGUCUCAAUGACGUAUUAAAGGGCUUUUAUAUGAAAGAAAGCGCUUAAACAAUAAAAGGGAUUGAUAAGGGAUUGAUAAGGGUGAUGGCUAAACAUAUGACUUUCCUCCCGCCCCACAGAUUCUCUUCCAAUUAUAGGAUUAAAAACUAUUUUCAUUAAUAUAAACUAGUUUUAAUUUUAUAUAUAUACAUGUUUUUUAAUUAAAAAUAAUUAAUAUCUUUUACAACUAAACAUGUUUCUUAACUAAAUCCGUUUUUUUAUUAGCUAACUUAAUUAAAAAAUAAUUUUAGUAGAAUUUUUCAAAAGGAAACUAAUUCUCUAAAGAAAUUUUCAAGAAAACUCGCGAAUUUGACGAAUAGGAAGGGAUGAAUGAGGGAUUCUAAAAAAUUAAAGAGCAUAUAAAAUAUGCAAGGAAGAAAAACUCAUGUUUUUGGUGUGCUUUGAGAAAUGACUCAAGUUCUUUCUUUCCAUGAACGAAUGAGUCAAAUCAUUUGAUUAUUAAUGAAAAGAACAUAAAGACAAAAACGUGGAAAGAAUUCAAGGAGUGGAGUUUCUCAAAGCAAGAGGAAGAGAACAAACGAUAUAGCAUAUAUCUCCAAGCCCUAAACCUAUACCAUCUUACUCACUUAAUGUUGAUUUUAACUGUAUUCACUCAAAAUUUACAAACUAAUCGUCAAGAAUGACAUGUCAAUUUAUUUUAUUUUAAAAUUAAAAUAGUAUUGCAAAAAGAAGAUUAAAUAUCAAACCACAACACCUAACCUAGUCGGUUGGUCAAACACUAUGUGAUAUAAUUAUUGACAUAUUAAUUUCAUUUGCAAAAUUUAUAUAUCAUUGUAGCACACCUUAAAGAAAAAUCUUCAACACUAUAUAAACAAUUGAAAUAUUAAAAACUUGUUAAAUUUGAAACUUAAAUAUUUUAUUUUUUCGAAUCACACUCACAUUAGAGCUUUGACCCUUGGCACUUAUUCCAAUAUGAUUCUUCUAUAUUCAUUGUUCCAAAAUCAAGUAACAAGUUGCUAGUGUGAACGCAUCCAUCUCUUUGAUUCUAACAACCACCAUCUCCAUCCAAUAGUUAAAAUAUAUUCCUUUUUUUUAAGUAUCAUUUUUUUAAAAAAACUAUUAUUUUUUUAAUUAUCAUCUAAUAAAUUUUAAGGUGGUAUUAAUUGUAAUUUUUAUAAAAAUUACUCUUUAAUAAUUAUUAUAGAAAAAAAAUGAAUAUAUAAAUAAUUAAGAUAUUAUAGGUAAAAGAAAAUUAUUAUUUUAAAAAGUAAUAAUAAUAAUACCUUUUUUGAUAUGUAUAAAAAAAUACACUUAAAAAAACAAAUGAAAUAGUUAAUGCGAGGACUAACCCAUUUCAACCUAACCUACGUAUGAAACAAUAAACACAAUAGUAUAUACAAUAUUUAUUUAUUUAGCGGAUAAAAGUUUGUUGUUUAUUUGAUUUGGAAGGAAGAAUUUGUUAGCAGCAAUGAAUUAAAUAUCUUGAAUCUCCUUCUACAAUUCUUUUUCAACAUUAUUACACUCUACUUAUGAAACAAUAUAAGAUUAUAAGUAUAAAUAAUUAGCCAAUGGUAUUAAGCUAUAGUUUGUUGAAUAUAGAGAUAAAGGAAGUGUUCAAAGUUGAACAUUUCAAACGCUAUUACGUGUUUUAGUUCUUAUCAAUAGUUGUAUAUAUACUUCAUUCUCUAUAAAUCCCUUUCAACAAACCACCACAAAUAGAGAUCAACUCACUAAUUUGGGAGAAACAAAUUAAAGAGAAACAUGCCAAUGCUGCAAACCUCCAACUGUAUCUCUACAAAUCAGUGAAUAUAUUACCAUGUAAGUAAUAGCUCCUUCGGUUUUUCAAAUAUUGAAUUUUUACAGAACUUUUUUGUUUAUUUUUCAUUUAUUAUUUUCAAAAGUUAAAACAGUAUUAAUCUAGUUUGAUAAAUCAUUAUUUUUAAUUAUUUUGUGAAAUAAAUAUAUUCAAACCGACAGAAAAUUUUAAAGUUUAGAAAAUUAAUACGAAUUAGAGAAAUUUUAAUAAUUAGAAGAAGAGAGUAAUGAAAAAUAGAGAUUAUAGUUGAAAAAUUAUUAUAUUAUAUCAAAAUUAUAAAUUAUAAUUAAAAAAUUUAAAACAGAAUAAUAAAAUGUUAAGGUUUAAAAAAGUAAAUAAUUAAAGACCGUACAUGUCUUUUUAUUAAUUGUUUGAAGAGAUUCUUAUUUUUUUUGUAAUUUCUCACUAAGAAUAGCCUCUCUCAAAAAAUGAAUUUUUUUUUAAAUAUCCAGAUUUUUCAAAAAAAUUCAAAAUACACCAUUUUUCAAAAAAUUACAAAAAUGGCUAAUUUUGGCCCUAAAUACACCUAGGCGCCACCACAGUUGGCGCCUACCCUUAAAGGGUAGGGCAAGUGCCACUAGGAGUGGCGCUACCCUUAAAUUUUUUUUUUUUUAAUUUUUAAUAUGUUUUUUUUUUUAAAUUUUUUAAUUUAUUAAUUUAGAUUUAUUAAAAAUUAUAUUAAUUAAUAUAAUACUAUAUAAAUAAUAUUAUUACAAGAUUAUAUAUAUAUAAUAUAUAUAUAUAUAUAUAUAUAUAUAUAAUAUAUAUAUUAAAUUAUAUAGAUUUAAUUAUAAGUAUUAAUAGUAUUUAUAAAUUUUGGAAAAAAAUUAAUUUAUAUACGUUGUAAAUAAAUAUUUAUACACAUGUAAAUUAAAUAUAUAUAUAUAUAUAAUAUAUAUAUAUAUAUAUAUAUAUAUAUAUAUAUAUAUAUAUAUAUAAAUAUAUAUAUAAUUAUAUAUAUAUAUAUAUAUAUAUAAAGAUAUGAUAGACAAUAUCUUUAAAGAUAAAGAUAAAGAUAUAUAGAUAUAAAGAUAAUAAACGCAAAAUAUUUUUAUUUAAAUAAUACACAUGACAAAUAUUAUAAAGAUAGAAUUAAAAUGCAUUAUUAAUUUGAGAUUUAUCACAUAUGAUGCGGUCUUUGGUACGAUCCGCACGGGGGAGGUCUAAUUACUCUCCUAGACGGUUCACGUGGUGGUGGUGCUUCCCUAUUACCACCCCUAGUCCUAACGCGUCCCCUUGCCGUUUACCGUUGUGGUUGGGUCGAAGUCCCUUCAGUGCUGUAGGAAAGACGGGUCCCCUCUGCGCCUUCAAAGCUUUGUCUCGGUGGGACAAACUGACUACUGUUGGGUGCGCCCUCGAAAUGUGGUAUUUGGUAGUUUAAGGUUGAAUCGGGUUGGCCAAAGAACAAUGUUUGUUGUGGUGUGUAGUAGUCUUGUUGGUAAUCCUCUUGUAUACCCGUGUCGGGGCUAGGUGGAGGACUGGAAGAGCUCGGGACAUUGUCGUGAUGGAAGUGUUGGGAUUGGUGGAUGUGGGGGGAUUGAUAUUGUGGUAGGUGUUGGGACUGUUGAUGGUGGUGGGAAUGUUGAGNNNNNNNNNNNNNNNNNNNNNNNNNNNNNNNNNNNNNNNNNNNNNNNNNNNNNNNNNNNNNNNNNNNNNNNNNNNNNNNNNNNNNNNNNNNNNNNNNNNNNNNNNNNNNNNNNNNNNNNNNNNNNNNNNNNNNNNNNNNNNNNNNNNNNNNNNNNNNNNNNNNNNNNNNNNNNNNNNNNNNNNNNNNNNNNNNNNNNNNNNNNNNNNNNNNNNNNNNNNNNNNNNNNNNNNNNNNNNNNNNNNNNNNNNNNNNNNNNNNNNNNNNNNNNNNNNNNNNNNNNNNNNNNNNNNNNNNNNNNNNNNNNNNNNNNNNNNNNNNNNNNNNNNNNNNNNNNNNNNNNNNNNNNNNNNNNNNNNNNNNNNNNNNNNNNNNNNNNNNNNNNNNNNNNNNNNNNNNNNNNNNNNNNNNNNNNNNNNNNNNNNNNNNNNNNNNNNNNNNNNNNNNNNNNNNNNNNNNNNNNNNNNNNNNNNNNNNNNNNNNNNNNNNNNNNNNNNNNNNNNNNNNNNNNNNNNNNNNNNNNNNNNNNNNNNNNNNNNNNNNNNNNNNNNNNNNNNNNNNNNNNNNNNNNNNNNNNNNNNNNNNNNNNNNNNNNNNNNNNNNNNNNNNNNNNNNNNNNNNNNNNNNNNNNNNNNNNNNNNNNNNNNNNNNNNNNNNNNNNNNNNNNNNNNNNNNNNNNNNNNNNNNNNNNNNNNNNNNNNNNNNNNNNNNNNNNNNNNNNNNNNNNNNNNNNNNNNNNNNNNNNNNNNNNNNNNNNNNNNNNNNNNNNNNNNNNNNNNNNNNNNNNNNNNNNNNNNNNNNNNNNNNNNNNNNNNNNNNNNNNNNNNNNNNNNNNNNNNNNNNNNNNNNNNNNNNNNNNNNNNNNNNNNNNNNNNNNNNNNNNNNNNNNNNNNNNNNNNNNNNNNNNNNNNNNNNNNNNNNNNNNNNNNNNNNNNNNNNNNNNNUCCAAUGCUCUGGCAUACCACUGCUUGGCUGACUUUUUUUAGAUGCCAAGCUUCCAAACAUAGGGGCCUGGGCGAUUUCUUAUUGCAAUCCGAAUUUCAGCUUGACACGGUCCACUUUGGUGCAUCUCCACAUGUGUGCUAACGCGGGCAUUAUUGGCCGUUGUUUGGUCCAGAACAGCUAGACAUCCUUCGGGGUGGUAUUGGAGUGUCUCACGAACUCCCAACAUAUCGGACUCCAAAGAUAAACUGCAAAGAAAAUACAAGACAGAAUAGUAUUUAUGAGAAUGCCCCAUGAGAUAUAAUAAAUCAUUAGAGGAAUGAGUGAUUUAGUGGAUAAACAUUCUUGUGCCUCGACACGAUCCAAGAUUGGCGAUAAAAUUAUUUAUUUUUGGUAGACUGUAUCCAGUCGGUUGUAAUGAACCUAAACAAAAAAAAUAAAUAAUAUUAUUUACAAAUAGCUUAUAGAAUAAAUAUACAAAUGAAAUCACAUCAUAAUUUACCUAGUGCGUAGGGAAGAGUAGAGUUAGAUUUUCUGGGCUAGCCUCGGCAAUCUCCACCCCCCAUGUUUGGAGCCAAAAAAGCACAUCCAGAACAAAUCUACAUGCUCAUUUUGUGCAUUUUACACAAAGAGCUAUACGACGCUUGGGAUGCCAUGACUCAACUUGAUAGAAAGUGAUAGGAAUAAUGGUGAAGAAAAUGCAAGAAAUAAACUCUAUUAUAGGAAAAUCUCGUUGUACACAAUCUAUUAACCCUAAUUAGUGUCGCACUUGAUAAUUAGUCUUAUGGGAAUUAGGUUGAAUUAUCAUAACUACCAAACUCUAAUUAUAACCGAUCAAUAAACCUAUUAUAAUUGAUAAAUUAACCUUAAAUGAUUAACCCUAAUUCUCCCAAAAAUUUAAAAUAAUAUUAACUUAUAAAAUUAAAUUAAUAUUAUAUAAAUAAUAUAAAUAUAUAUUAUAUAUAAUAUAUAUAUAAUAUAUAUAUAUAAUAUAUAUAUAUCUUGUAAAUAAUUUUAUUUAUAUAUAUGUAUUAAUAUAAAUUAAUAUAAUUUAUAAUAAAUCUAAAUUAAUAAAUUAAAAAAAGUUUUAAAAAAAAAACAUAUUAAAAAAAAUAAAAAUUUAAGGGUAGGCGCCACUCCUAGUGGCGACUUGCCCUACGGUAGGCGCCAACUAGGGUGGCGCCCAAGUACAAAAAUAGGGAAAAAAUGUCCAUUUUUGUAAUUUUUUUGAAAAAAUAUGUAUUUUUGAAUUUUUUUUUUAAAAAUCUGGAUAUUAAAAAAAAAAACUCUCAAAAAAUUUAUUUCACAAAGUUAUAUUCUGAAUUUAUGACUUAUAACUUAUAAAGUUACAUGUUAAAAUAAAAUCCUUUACCCAAUAACACUUAUAUAAAAUGCUAAGGGAUCUUAAUUUGGAAUAUAUAGCAAUGUUAAAUUUUUUUGAAAGAUUUAUUUCUGAAACUGCGUAUCAAUUUCUAAAAGAAAUUCCUUUAGUAAUAAUUAUUUUUUCCAGAAAGUUAUAUUUUUAUUAAAUAAUUUUAAUAGAAUAUAAUUUAUUAAAUUUAUGCAAUAAAUAUUUAUUACAGUAAAUAAAUAUUAAUUAAACAUAUUUUUGUAUCAUUUAAUAUUUAUAAGUUAAUUCAACCAUAUUAUAUAUUUAAUUAAUUAACUUAUUUGAAAUCAGUCAACAAAUAUGUACCCAAAAAAAUCAUCAAAUAAUUUAAGAGCUAUAAACUAAUUUGUUAUUAUUUAUUUGUUUUUUCUUUUGUAACAGAGGCAUAUUAUAUUUAGUGUUUCUUGUCGGAAAAUGCAUUAACGAUAAAAACAAAGGACAAAAUGAAAGAAGUAGAAAAAAACCAGGUGGCACAGGUGUAGGAGGAGGAGGGCCUGAUCCAGAUUCGACUCCCAAAUGAGUAGUUGAUCAUUUUUUUUAUCCUCUUUUUUUAAAAACACGUUAAUUAAUUUGGAGUUGUUUUAGUUUUAUUUUAUUUGGAAUUUAUGUUUUUACUUUCAUUUUAACAUAAUGAUCCAGAUGUAAACAGAUGUAUCAAAGGAAUUGGCAAUAUUAAAUUGAAAUGAGAUUGAGGAUAGUUAAUAGUAUUACAUUGCUGCUACUUGUUUUCAAUCGUGAUCUCAAAGGGUAAAAUAAAUUAUACAUUUUCUAAUCCUCUUUCUGAGUAUUAAAUAGUACUAUCACUGAAUAAAUAAAUAUAGGAUAACUUGUUUUCUGUUGAUAUAUGUUAAGAAUUAAUUAUAAAAAUAUUUUUUUAAAACUUGUGUAUUAUUUUUAUCAAAAUUUUAUAAUUAAUAUUUUUAUUUAUUUACAUUUUAUUAUAAAUUUUUAUUGUAAUAAAUUAUCUUAUUUAUAUUAUCAAAAAUUUUCUCUUUCAGAUUUUUCUAUUUUGCCAUUUCAUGGUAUCGAAUUAUAGUAUAGGGUAUUUUGAACUUCCAAUGAGAUUCUCAUCAAUUAUAUGGUAUAAAAAUUGGGGACUAUUCUUCAAGAAUUUGAAAUCUCUUAAAAUAUGUAGAGUUUAUUUAAUGGGAAUCCUUAACCUUUUUAAUGUUGUAUUAAUAAUUUUUUUUAUUCUUUAGGGACUUAAAACUACCCCAUUAAAUGGAAUAUAUAUUUUUUUUACAUUGUCUGUCAAAUUUUUGUCACCCAAUUAUAUAUAAAUAAUUGUAUUAAACAUUUUAUGAACUAUGUUUUUUUAUUAAGUGUUACCAAUAGUUUAAAAUUACAAAGCAAAUUUAUAAUAAGAUUUUUUUUUUAAUAUUCAACUUUUAGUCACUAUUAUACUCCUAUUUAGACUUUGUAAAAAGAACAAUUACUUUAAACAUAACCGGCAAACAAAGACGGAGUCAAAAAAUUUGAAUAGUGGGUCAAUAUAAAUAUAAUAUUUUAUUUUUCAAAAAUAUAAAAAUAUAAAUACCUUGUUUGACGGUUUUUCAUGUUAUGAAAAUAUUGAAUAAGUUUCUAAUUUUCAACAUAAAAAAAUUAUAUCUUUCAAUAUAAGUAUCUAAGCAAUCAUUUAACCAUUCAUCACUCAUGCAAUUUCACAUUUGAUUAUUUAUAAUAUUCAUAACAGAGAAAGCUAUUUUAGCUAUUGCAGUUGCCACCAAUAAUAUCAGAAAUAAUUUUAAAAGCAAAUAUACCAAUAGAUACACAUCAUGUUCUUUGUUGAUUUUUAAAAAAAAAUAUUUUUUCAAUGCUUAUUACUAAAAACAAAAUAAAAGCUCACAAUUAAAAUCAUAUUUAGAAAGUUCAUACUAAUACUAUAAAUUGAUACAAACACUACAAAACUCUAAAAAUAAAUUUUCUACCGUCACAAUCUCAAACUCAAUAAGGUAAUAAUAUAUUUAUACUCCUAUUAUGAUAAUAAAAAUAAAUUAUAAAUUCAUAAAAAUUAAAAUUAAAAAAUUUAUCUAUCAACUAUAGAAAAGAAAAUUGAUAAUAGAGAUGCGCUUUGCAGUAAGAGAAAGAGAAGUAAGAGAAAGAGAAGUAAGAGAAAGAGGAAUACGAAAAGUGAUUUGUUUGUCCUUGAAAAGUGUCAAAAGAGAAUUAAUAGGAAUAGAAAAAGAAAAGUUUUUUUUUUUUAAUUUUAGUUAAAACAUUUAUUAUAUUUAUUAUAUAGAACUAUUUUUUAAAGUAAACAAUUAAAUAUUUUAAAUGUAGUAGAGUAAUAGGUGUGUGUGAGAACUAAAUUAUUCAAUAUUAUUUAUUAAGUGGGGGUCAUAAUAAUUUUUUUUCUAAUUUUUUAAUACAUUUAACAUGUUAAUAUAUUACUUAUAAUAUUAAAUAUGGAAUAAGUGAUAAUUGUGGUGGGGGCAUAGACUCACCCUUUCAAUACACUAACGGCAAAUAUGGACUCACUAUAACAUUUUCGUCCGAAAACAAAAAGAAAGGGUUGACUAAUGAAGCUACGAUUUCAAAUUCAUACAAUUGAUAUAAAAAUACCACUAUCACCAGCAUAAGAUAAAUUGCAAAAAUACAACUUUCUUAUUGAACAUAAUAACAACGGUUAAAUUAUGUUAAAAAUAGAAUAUAAUCUACUAGAAUAGGUUCAGAUAUAAGAUAUAAUUUAAGUUGUGUAUGACUCAAGUUCAAAGUCAAUUAUGGUUUAAGGUUUGUUACUUAGUUUGUUAUUUAGUAGUCAAGUAACUUUGUAUAUAAAUACAUGCAUAUGUAAAUUAAUUUGUAUCACAAUCAUUAUUCAAUAAUAGAAUCUUUAUUUUCAUAUUCUCUAUCUUUUCUCUCCUCACAAAAGUGCCUCACACACUAACAAAUUGAUAUCUAGAGUUUCGAUUAGAUUCUUGAUCGUCUUUUCAAGAGUCACAUGUCAGUGACCGUGUUUCUGGAAUUGAGGGUUGUUAAUCGUGUUUGUUGCAAAGAUGAAUGACACCAACGUCAUUCCGAAUUCUCUUUCAAUUCUUGACAACAAGAAUUGGAUUGAUGGAGAAAAUUGAUGCAGUCCUAGUCCGACUUUCAUGAAAUCCAAGAAGUGGUUACUAAUAACGUCCCUGAGUUUGUUGAGAAUGCAAUUGAUGCUCAGAGGGUCGCGCACAAGGAGGAGAAGAAGAAAGACUGCGAGGCCUCGUAUUGCAUUCAAUCGGCGGUAGAUUCGACGAAUUUCGACAAGAUCUCUCAUGCUGAAUCGGCGAAGGAGGCAUGUGAUAUUCUUGUCAAGUACUAUGAAGGAGGUGAGAAAGUCAAAAUUGUCGAAUUGCAGACUUUACGAUGGCAGUAUGAAUUGAUUCAGAUGGGAUAAGAUGAAAAGAUUAUAUGCUAUGUGUCGAAGGUACUGAAUCUCGUCCGUAUCAUGAUGGGUUGUGGUGAAACCCUAACUAAUAAGAUGAUAGUUGAGAAGGUAAUGUGUAUAUUGACCUCUCACUUUGAUCACGUUAUUGUAGCUAUUCAAGAAUCCAACAAUCUUGAAACCAUGAACUGGAAGAUUUGGUUGGUUCGUUGGAGGCGCAUGAGAUUAGGAUUAUCGAAAGGAAAUGGGUUAAAGAUUUGAUACAAGCACUGCAAGCUCAAGCUUGGAGGAAGCAUGGUGGCUCCAACAAAUUUAAAGGCAAAGGAGACAAGACUCGAAGCAAGAAGUCUUGGUCGAACCUUCAAAAGCAUAAGGUCGAUGAUAGGGCUUAUAAAUCCUCGAAAAGAGGAUAAGGAAACUCCUAUCAGAAAGACAAAGCAAAAAAAUGUGUGUAUUUCUCUAAUUGUGAAAAGUAGGGUUACAUGGCCAAGAAUUGUUGGUAUAAUAAAGACAAGGGAUUGACAAAAGGCAAGGAGGAAGGAGCGAACCUUGCAUGCCAAUAUUCAGAUGAGGUUGAAUAUACGGUGGUUAUGGUUGCAGUUGUAGAUGACCAUGUCGAAUCCAAGAUUUGGUUCCUCGACUCAGGCUACUCGAAUCACAUGACUGGUUGAAAAGUGUGGUUAGCAGAUUUCGAUUCGUCGAAGAAGAGCAAGGUCAAACUUGCUGAUAAUAGCUCGUUGCAAGCAGAAGGUACUGGAGACAUAGUUUUUCAAAGGAGCAAUGAAGGAAAAGCUAUGAUUAAAUAUGUACUUUAUGUACCUGGAAUAAAGUUCAAUUUUCUAAGUGUUGGGCAACUGGUUGAAAAAGGUUUCUCAGUAAUUAUGAAAGUUGGAGCCUUGGAACUAUUCGUCCCUCUGAAUAAUUAGGUCUUGAAAUUUCCUUUGUCCAAGAACAGGACAUUUAAGACCAUGAGCAGUUCGAUUGAAGUACAAUGUCUAAAAACCAUUGUUGACCACAAGAAUAGUUGGUUGUGGCAUUUGAGGUUUGGACAUCUGGACUUUCGAUCACUAAUAUAGGUUUCUCAGUCGAUUUGUGAGUAGAUACAUGAGUAAAUUGAGGGUGUCACACAUGAAGGCUACAAGAAGAAUCCUGAGAUACUUAAAAGGAUCGAUAUACUAUGGAAUUCUAUUUAGAUGAGACUCUGAAAGCAAAGAAGCUAUGGUUACUUUCUAUUUAGAUGUUGAUUGGUGUGGAGAUAAGGAAGAUCAAAUAAGUACAACUGGUUAUUUCUUUCAAGUGUUUGGUGCCAUAAUCUCAUGAUGCUCGAGAAAGCAACCUGUGGUGGCAUUGCCAUCGUGUGAGGCUGCAUAUAUAGGAGGAUCCUAUGAUGCAUGUCAAGCAAUUUGGAUUUGAUAUGUGCUUAAAGAAAUGCAGGUUGAAGUGAAGAAACCUCUGGUGUUGCAGAUCGACAAUAGUCAGCCCUAAAUCUUGUGAAGAAUCCAGUUUUGCAUGGAAGGAGUAAGCAUAUCGAAGCAAGAUUUCAUUUCCUUAGGGAGAAGGUAAAUCGAGGUGAACUUGAAGUGAGGCAUUGCUCAAGUGAAGCACAAUUGGCCUACCUUUUCACCAAAGUAUUGAAGAUCAACAAAUUCUUGAAUUUGAAAAAUAAAUUAGGAAUAGUUCAUAUCGAUUAUGAUUAUCAUAUGUUUGACAACUUGGAUUAUAGGGGGUAUAUUGAGAUAUAAGAUAUAAUCCAAGUUGUGUGUGGCCCAAGACCAAAGUCAAUUAGAGUUUAUAGUUUGUUACUUAGUCUUUUAAUUAGUAGUCAAGUAACAUUAUAUAUAAAUACAUGCAUAUUUAAAUUAGUUUGUAUCACAAUCAUUUUUCAAUAAUAGAAUCCUUACUUUCAUAUUCUCUCUCUUUUCUCUCCUCACAAAAGUGCCUCACACACUAACAAAAUCUUCUACAGUGAGUAAAACUUAAAUAAGAUUUUAUCUUGUCUAACAAGGUCCAAGGCCCUUGAUCAUAAUAUACACAAGAAGACGGUUAUCAAUAGAGAGCAUAAAGCUGCAAUUUAACAUAAAGCAUAAGACUCGCUCUGCAAGCUCUAGUUCUUAGCUGCAAUAGAACAGAUACUUAAAAUUUACUAGUUUGACGAAUAAAAACAACAAAAACAUAAGUUUCAUUAUACUUCAUACACACCAUUGCAAGGUAGAAAAUUUUCUUCAAGUAUAAUGACAAGAUAUUAAAAGAGUAACAUGUUCUGCAAGCGCUGCAAAAAAUUAUGUAUGUGUGUUGAACUGAAAGUGAGAAAAAUACAGAACAAGGGGGUUGAGUUGUGUAAGGCCAAAAAUCGAAUUUACUUCUGAACCAACAAGUUUAGAUUCUAAACAAGGUUCAAUCUCUAAUAUCAGAAUCAAGCACAACAACGGAAAUAAAAAGUUCAGAGGUAAAUGCAAGCAACACACAAAGAUUAACUCUAAUAUGUAUGUUCCUUGGAUACCCUAGAGGAGUCAAAGCUUAUAGGUUGUGGUGCAUGGAGUCAGAUGAUGACUUCUGGGCAAGUGUACCGAUAGUUUCACAAUAAUAAAAAAUUGAAUCUACAUGGAUUGUGUUCGAACUAACCAACAAUUGUGCAAUAUAAAGGAAAAACGGUAAAUGGGGGGGGGAAGGGGUCCGUUUUUUACNUUAAACGGAAGAACAAAUUAUGAGUCUAAAACAGAAGAAUUAAUACAAUUAGCUUGUGUACUAGAAUCUAGUUAUCCUUUCUUGUUGAUGUAUGAUUCCUCGAAUGAAUGGUCUAAUCCUUAUAAUCUCACGGCGAACUAACAAAACUGUUAUAGCCGACCCCUCACGAAAUAACUCAUUAACCACUACUCAGAGCUUUAUAUCCCUAGUCUGCCAGCAUAAGUAGGGUUAGGUGAUGUACAAAACGUUAAUUCCCUACGCCACUACUCGGGGGCUCCUAUCCCUAUUCAACUAACGUAAGUAAAAUAGUUUUCCUAGGUCCAACACAUAUGGUAAGGGUCAGUAAUCCAUAUGUGUCUAAUAUCAGAUUAACAUAGUAUCUCAAAUAAAAAACAUUAAGACUAAGAAACAACUGAAUAAGAUUAUAAUUCAAAUGAUUCAUACAAAUUCAAACCAAUAUAUAAUGCCAACAAUAUUGAAUCAGGUUCAUCAUCUCACAACCUAACCUAAAGAAGCUUAGCUACUCAUAGUCAAAAUUACAAUACCAAUUGAAUAAAGAAGAAUAUCAUAUGAGUUCCCUUGAAGGAUAGGCCUCCAAUGCUCUCAAAAUCACCCUUUGAUGCUGUAAAAUCGUGCUCCCAAUGCCAAAUUUCAUAACCCUUGUGAAAGUGCAUAAUUUCCUCUUUUAAAGGUGUCAGAAUAGACCAGAACACGUUAGAAAAAAAGGCCCAGACAAGUGACCAUCGCGCGCACGAUACCCUGCAUUCUUUGGUCCUUUUAUUUUCUCCUUUUUCACUGAAAUUUUCUCUAAGUCCACAAUUUGCACACUUAGCUAUUUUCCCCCUAAUCUUUGGUCAUUCCAUCUCAUGUUGCUUGACUUUCACUUGUUUUCCUCUGAUUCUUCGAGUAAAUAUAUGCAAUGAUGGGCUGUCAUCACAACCCUAAACAUGAAUUAUUGCUUAUCCUCAAGUAACUCAUUUAUAACUGCACAUUUCAACAGACAACAAGUCGCACAAUAACAACCGAACAUCACUAAAUUAAAAUUUUAUUUUACCUGACCAUGUUCUAGCUUCCAACUUCUAUCCAACGAAUUUAGAAAACAUCCUCAACAUUGACGAUUACUUAACAUGUCUCUCAGCUCACUAUAACUCACUCAAUGGAUAAGGUGAUCACUCAAUCAACAUGAAAAAUAAAUUAAACUUAGCUUGAUUACAUUGUUAAAAAGUUCAUCAAAGAGAUCACAACACAUAAAUUAGAGGGAUUUCCAGGUUGUAAUUUGGCUUGUGUUAGGUAGGAUAUAUUUAGGAUAUUAGGGUUAAACCUUUGGAGUUAGGUUCCUAGUUCUCCUUCAUUCAUCAUACCUUUUUGUUAGUACUAGAUAUUUGUGAUAUUUCUUACAAUGUCAUUCUUUUUCUUUUCUCAUUCAUUCAAAUUUUUUUGAAGAAGUGUCUUUUUCCAUUUCUUUUUCACAACAAUUUUUUUAAAAUUUUAGAUCAUAUUCUCUUGUAUCCCAACCUCAAACUUAAAUUUUUUUACAUUUCCAAGAGUAACCCUAAAUUUAAUCUUUUUCAUAAACUCUAAGAACAAUAUUUCUACCUAACUCCAAAGAGAAGGUGGAAAUAAAAUAUAUUUCAAGUAAUAUGGCUAAGAAUUUAAGGCUAUGUCACCAAAAGAAAGGCUUAGGCUAAAAGUAUUUAGCAAAGGAUAAUCCUACUACUAAAGGGUGGUUUAUAAAGGCUCAAAGUUAUAAACAAAAAAUUACCUCAGUGUGUGUUGAUCAAACUUGACAACUUAAUUAGAAAUAAAUCAAAUCAGAUAAAAGAAUAAUGCAUGGAUACACUCAUAAAGAAAGAAAAGUGAACAAUGGAAAUAUUUGGCUCAAAUCUUACUAUAUGAGGUAUUUGUAGGUUGAAUACGAGUCUGUUGAUUAUUUUCCCAUCCUUCGCCUUCAAGUUCCUAGUUGCUAUUAUGAUGAUCAAGUUUCCUUUGGAUCAUUUGUUCAAUUCUAAAAUGCUAAACUUGUAAUCUAAAAGAAACAUAAACAACUACAAACUUGUUUAUUAAAGACAAUUGAGAUAUUCAUGGAAGGGUUAUGCUUGAGUAGAUAACUCUUCUUUUGGAUGGUCUUGAAUAAAAAUAAAGUAAAUUCUGAAAAACAAAAAAAAAGCUAGUUAUAAAAGAUGGGUUGCCUCCCAUCCAAUGCUUCUUUAAGGUUAUAAGCUUGACCUUUUGAUUUGUGUGUUAGGGCGACAUACAUGACAAGAAAAACACAUCAUCCCUCUUCUUCCUUUUGUUUGGUAGGAAUUCCAUCACUUUCAGGAAUUGAAGGUUUUUCUUCCAUAUUUUCUUUAGCUUGAUAGUAUUGAACAAGGGAUAAAUCUCAUCCAAUAAUUCAUCAAUUUCUCCUCUUUUAUCAGCCUUUAUACUAGGUGUAGGAGUAUUAUUUUGUUGAAGAUCUUGUAGUUGGAUAUCUAAUUCUGAACGAAUUAUUGAAAUUUAAGCUUCACCAAAAAUGAUACAAUCUUCAUCUUAAAUUCUUGCUCUUGUCCCAUAUAUAAUUUUCACCUUAGCUUCUUCUAUUCUUGCUUCUAUCUCUUUAUCAGGUGUCUUGCAUUUUUCUUCUUCUUUCUCUUUUUCAACUCCUCCUUCAUUAAAUACCUGACAUUCCUGUUUAACGUCCCUUUUAAUUUCCUUAUAUCUAGGGCUAUCUAACAUAUUUUCAUAGAAAUACCCAGUAGAUAUUAGUUUUAAUGCUAAUUGGAUAGAUACUUGACCAAGUUGCAUCUCUAAAUUCUCGAAGGAUGUUUCCAUGUUACUUCGCACAAUUUCUUGAUGUCUAUUGAUUUUCUCGAAAAUGAGUUGAGUCAUCUUUAUAAACUGGAUCAAGGUUUAUUCAAGUUGAGAUUGUGAAUCCCUCUCCUAUGAAUGAUCAAUGUAAGGUUCUGGUUCUAAAUAAUUUCUAGCAUUUUCCAAAAUGAGCGUUUUUGAUGCAAGUUCCUUUGCAUAAGUUUCAAACUUUACAAAGGUAGCAUAGACGACAUCUCGCAUGAUUGUCUUGACCUUGCAUACAAACAAAAAGAAGAAUACCUUAGUAGCACUGCAUAGAUAAGAAAUUUAAACAAAAAUAAACUAAAAAGAUAAAGAAAUGGAAAAUACAAAUUAAGAAUAAACAUAAAUAAAAUAAUUACAAAAUGAAAAUAUUUACAAUUGAAAACAAAACGGAAAACAAAAUAAAACUAAACGUUUCACACGCGUCGCCUUGUUGAAAAACCAACAGUCCCUGGCAACGGCGCCAAAAACUUGAUGACUUCUCAUCAAGUGUACUAAUAGUGUCGCAGUAAUAAAAUAUUGAAUCCACAAGGACUAUGUUCUGACAUGUCAACAAUUAUGCAAUAUAAAGGAAAAAUGGUAAGGGGGUUCAGGUUUUAGAAAGGAAAACAAAUUACGAGUUUAAAACAGAAGAAUUAAGAUGGUUAGGUUGUAUAUUAGAAUACCAUUAUCCUCUCUUGUUGAUGUAUGGUGUCUUGUAUGAAUGGUCUAAUCCUUAUAAUCUCAUGGCGAACUAACAAAACUGUUAUAGUCGAUCCCUCACAAAAUAACUCAUUAACCUCUACUCAGAGCUUUCUAUCCCUAGUCCGCCAUCAUAAGCAGGGUUAGACAAUGUACAAAACAUUAAUUCCCUAGGCCACUACUCAGGGUCUCCUAUCCCUAUUCAACCAGCGUAAGUAAAACAAUUGCGUUAGAUCCAACAUAUAGGCUAAGGGUCAGUAAUCCAUAUGUGUCUAAUAUGAGAUUAACAAAGUAUCUCAAAUAAAAAAACAUUAAGAUUAAGAAACAACUGAGUAAGAUUAUAAUUCAAAAUAUUCAUACAAAGUCAAACCAACAUAUAAUGCCAACAAGAUUGAAUAAGGUUCACCAUCAUACAACCUACCCUAUAGAAGCUUAGCUAGUCAUAGUCAAAAUUACAAUACCAAUUGAAUAAAGAAGAAUAACAUAUGAGUUCCCUUGAAGGAUUGACCUCCAAUGACUUCUAAUGCUCUCAAAACCACACUUUGAUGCUGUAAAAUCGAACUCCUAAUGCCAAAUUUUGUAACCCUUGUGAAAGUGCAGAAUUUCCCCUUUUAAAGGUGUUAGAAUGGACUAGAACGCGUCAGAAAAAGGCGCAGAAAAGUGACCAUCGCGCAUAUAAUACUCUGCAUCGCGCAUGCCAUGCAACUUUUAAUGCCCUAUCAUGUGCGCAAUGUUGCACGAUGAUGGAUAUGAUUAUUUCCGAAGCUUCACUCUUUUUUUCUCCUUUUUCACUCAAAUAUUCACCAAGUCCACAAUUUGCACACUUAGAUAUUUUUACCUCAUUCUUUGGUCAUUCCUUCUCAUAUUUGCCCAACUUUCACUUUUUUUCUCUGAUUCUUCGACUAAAUAUAUGCAAUGACCAACUGUCAUCACCAGUUCAUUGGAGGUAUAUCAUAAGCUGAGAUGUAGUUUUCAAUUAAGUUGAGAUGACUUUCAAGAAAACUGAUGACGUUGGUCGGAGUGCGAAGAUCUCUGAAGAGAAGCUGGAACAUGAAGAGAUUCCGGUUGAGGUGGAGCAUUGUGAUGCUGAAUUAUAUAACCUAGAUUAAGUCGAAGAACAAUCACAAGUUGCUGACGAAUUUGAGGAGACUGAUAAUGACUAUCUGUUGACAAGAGACAUGUCGAGAAGAGUCAUCAAACUACCUCAGAGACUUGGUUAUGUGAUCAGUCUCCAAUUCUACUUGUUUUCUGACACUCAUUCCGCACCUUUGUACGAAGUCGGUAACACAUUAGUCCACUUAUUUUAUUGUUUUUUAGUAAUUUAGAUGUUUCGCAUUGUUGUUUCCAGUUGUUGAUUACAUGUUAUAUGCAUCAUUAUACUCCAUUUUAUAUCCGUUUGUGGUAGUUCUAUUGGUUUCAGGUGUAACUAAGAGUACCAGAGGGAUAGACAAGCAAAUUGGACGUUUCGGGCCCGUCGGAAGAAGAAAAUUUGACAGUACAGUAGCCCUGACACGGCCAUCCAUGUUGCCCAACACGGGUCAUGUCAGGAGAAGACACUUGGAAGAGGAAAAUAGGGAGUUGACAUGGGUGCCCGUGUAAGCUGACACGGCUCGUGUCAGCCUCCCUGAAGGGGCGUGUCAAGCCUGUUUACACCAGAAGCCCAACACGGCCUAUCGUGUUACCUGACACAACCAAUGUUGGCUUGGACACUUGAUUUGCCAUUUUUUGCCGUUUUUGGCACGGCUUAUCCCGGAGAGCAUUUUGGACUUUUGCUAGAUAAACAUUGUCAUCAGGAACUAUUUAGUGGAGACUUGAAUAUGGAUAAAGGGAUUUUUUCACGACCAAAAAAAUUAGAGACGAUAAAGAUUGAAGCAGUGGAAAGCAACUAAGAACAGAGAUCUUUCAAGAGCGGACGCGAUUGAAGAUCAACGGAAUUCCAAACUUUUUGUAAUGUCUCAAUUUUAUCUUGUAUUUUAUUUGAAUAAUAUGAGAGGUUAAACCCCCCAAUGCCAGGGGGUGUCCCUAAAUUGAUCAUGUAAUGACUCUGAUGUUAUAAUUUCCUUAAUAUAUGUUAUUUGUUUUCAAUUUCACUGUGUAAUGUGCGUAACGCCUUCUUUUUCAGAAAAAUCAAGAUUGAUGUAUGGUUAACGAUUAACAGGAUUGCAAUUAACUCUGAUGUUAUAAUUUCCUUAAUAUAUGUUAUUUGUUUUCAAUUUCACUGUGUAAUGUGCGUAACGCCUUCUUUUUCAGAAAAAUCAAGAUUGAUGUAUGGUUAACGAUUAACAGGAUUGCAAUUGUUAAGGUUUUUAUACAGUGAAACCAUAAUAGGGAUCACCUAGGACUAGGGAUACCCUAUGGUUACCGAAUUAUUCUUGUUAAAUUAAAAUGACUUGGUUUCAUCAUAAUCACCUAAGGACUUAGAGGUUAAAUUGAAUACCAAAGGUUUCCCUCCGAGGUCUUAGGGGGAAACAAUCUUAAAAUCCGGUAAUUGAAACAAUUCUCACUAUGAAGGAGAUAUACACUCAAGGGUUAUUACAUGAGAUUUUCACACACCAUCUGUGGCAUAUUAUUAUAAUCUGUGAACAUAUUUAUUUUGUUUUAUUUUCCCUUGCAGUGAAUUUUACAAAACCAAAACUAUUCCUUUUGUUCAAUUGUGUGACUGUUUACACUUAUAUUGCUGCACAAUCCUCGUGAUCGAUGUUUGGGAAACAUCCCUCUUAUUACUACAUCGGAAAAAUAGUACACUUGCUAUUUUCCCGAUCAUUAUGCAAAUCUCAUAACAUUUUCCUUAUUCUCUAUAAGUGAGGUUCUUGAUGAAGAACCUAGAGACUACAAGGAAGUUGUGCGGAUUCGAAACAAGACUGAAUGGCUGAAAUCCAUAGAUGAUAAGAUGAAAUCUUUUCAUGAUAAUCACACUUGGGAGUUGAUCGAGAAACCCGCAGGAGCCAGGUUAGUCAAUUGUAAGUGGAUUUUCAAGGUUAAUGAAGGAAUCAAAGGAGUGAUGUCGAAGAGAUUUAAGGAAAGAUUGGUUAUUAGGGGGUUCACUCAAAAAGACGAUGUCAACUUUAAUGAUGUGUUCUCGCAUGUUGUAAACCAUAAAUCCAUUCAAAUGUUGCUUGAUAUGGUGGCAAAGUUCGACUUAGAACUUGAACAGAUGAAUGUGAAGUCAUCCUUCCUAUAAGGUGAUCUAGAUGAAAUAAUCCCGAUGAGCAAACCGAAGGGUGUGCAGAAAAGGGCAAGGAGGAUUGUGUGUGCAAGCUGAAUAAGUCUUUAUAUGGACUGAAACAAUUUCCUCGAAAAUGGAAUAGGAGAUUUGACAAGUUCAUGGAACAUAUAGGUUUCGCUAGAAGCUAGUUCAACCAUUGUAUUUACUUCAGAUUUUGACCUGGAAAUUCACUUUUUAUUUUAUUGCUUUAUAUGGAUGAUAUCCUCAUAAAAAGUAACAUUGUCGAGGAUGUUAUGAAGGUGAAAGUUGAACUUGAUAAGGAGUUCGACAUAAAGGAUCUUAGAGAUGCCCCUAGAAUUAUCAGGAUUAACAUCCAAAGAGAUAGAAAGCAAUUUAGAUUAUGCUUAUCUCAAGAGACAUACCUACUGCUGGUAAAGGGAUUUAUGAAAGUUUCGGUUGACCUCGUAUUAGAUACGGACGCCCGUCUACCAUUACCCGACGUUGUUUCAGAGACAACGUUGAUGCAAGAUGCAGUCGGAUCCUUUGUUGGUUGGCCGUCAGAUCUAAUUUUCCCUGAUGCCGAGGUAUAUAUGUUCUAAAUGAUUAUGAAUAAAUUUAGAAUUCACAUUUCAAUUCAGCUACAAUUAUGAUAUUUAAUCAAUCCUUAUUACAUGGUAAUGUUAGACUCCUACAAGACCCACCCCUAAAGCUGGUAAGGAUUUCAAGACGCAUCGAGUCGGUUGCAUCUCAAAAAGAGGUACAAAUAUAUAUACCCAUUGAAUUAUAUACACAACGAUUCUUUUGCAUCACAAAAAGUAAUGAUUUAUUUUAAUAUGAAUUUUUAGGUUCCCGCGUCGAAAGUUGAAAAGCGAUGGUAAGGAUAUUCCAACGAAGGAUAUUCCAACGAAGGAUAUUCCAACGAAGGAUAUUCCAACGAAGGAUAUUCAACGACGCCGGACAAAAUCUCAAAUUAUGAUGCGUCUUGAGAAAAUGUGGAAGAUCCGAUAUUAUGGACGGGUCCAUUCGUAGUAUAGAUUUAUGAGAAGGUGUUUUCGGAAAAGCUCAUUUCGAAAUAAUUGAAAGAGGACAUGCAAACAACUUUUUGAGCACGACGAAUGGUGGACACAUUCAUCAUACUAUGUACUCCGAUCAAUCUAUUAAUUACUUAGUUACAAUUUAUUCACAUUCAAUGAGUAGUCUAUAUUUAUUAUGUUUCUAUUUAAGGUAUAUGUAUGACAAAUUGAUGCGGGGAACUGAAUUGUGUAACCGUUUCAAUUUUAUUGCUGCUUCCCGUGUCAACGCACGUUAAUAUCGAAAAAUCCAACAUCCGUAAAGAAUGAUCUAGUCGAUAGAUUCAUGGCGGCGGCGAUAAUACUACACGCAGUUUUUUUUUUUACCGUUUAAUUCUGGCAACGGUUAGAUUUUCUUUUAAUAAUUUCCAUUCUAAUCUAUGUAUAUCUUUUACAGUAGAAAAUUUUCAUUCAUCUAAAUUUUUGUUUAUUUUACAGUGGCCACUGGGUGUUGGUUGCUAUGGAUCUUUCGAGACUAAUAGUGUAUUAUCUCGAUUCGUUAUCGGGUGAUUGGAGUAAAUAUCCGGGUUUGAAGAAGCGGUUGACACGUAAGUGAAAUUCCUCUAAAUAUUCGUGUGUAUUUCUAUAUUUAAUUAUGUCGUCAGAUUGAUCUCAAUAUACGUUUUAUUUUGUUAGGGCAAUACAUAAAUUUAGAUCGAAAAGAAAAUUACCGCAUUAGGAAGGACAUUACCUGGGUCAGAGUUCAGGUAUAUAUAUAAGUAUCUAUUUUUGCUUAUAAUAGUGUUGUUUUUUUGCUUAUAAUAGUGUUUGUAAGAAAUUAACUAUAUAUAUAUGUGUGUUUCUAUGUAGUGUCCUCAGCCAAAUAAUUCGGUCGAUUGCGGUUUUUUGUAUUGAGAUUUAUGAGAGACAUCAUUGCGUUGAAUCGUAUAGACAUCCCAAAAAUGGUAUGGAAUAAUAACUUAGGGUUUAUUUUAAUAUAUAUCGAAUAUUUCAUCUAAUUUGUUACUAAAUCAUGAAUAUGUUUUUAUUCUCUUAAUUGUAGUACUUUGAGGAAUACAAAACCUACUCAAGAGCAAAAUUUGGAUGAAUCAAGGAUGAAUUGUGUCAAUUCAUUGUUGAUCCAAGAAUCAUAUAGCUAGGUUGUAUAUUGUUGUACAUAUAUGUAUGGAAUGUUGUUGUUGUAUGUGUGUUGUUGUAUAUAUGUUGUAUAUUGUUGUUGUAUUUUACUAAAUCAUGAAUAUGUUGUGUAUAUGUGUUGAUCAAAGAAUCAUAUUAAUGUUGUAUAUAGGAGGAUAAUGUUGGAUAUAAAAGGAUUCUGUGUAUAUAUAUAUCAAUGGAUUGAUGGUGUAUAACAUGGAUUAAAGAAUGAAAUCAAUAUGAAUUUUACAACUUUUGCAGCAUGCGAACAGGUUACCAUUAAUAUCCACUGUUUUUCAACAAAUUUUUUAUAAAUAACUAACACUUUAGAGGGCGCUUUCUGAGGAAGCGCCUGCUAAACACUUUACAUGAGAACUUUAGAGGGCGCUUUGUCCAGAAAGCGCCCUCUAAACACUUUACAUUGACAACUUUAGAGGGCGCUUUCUGCAGAAAGCGCCCUCUAAAGUGUUAGUUAUUUUAAAAAAAUAAGCGCCCUCUAAACACUUUACAUUGACAAUUUAGAGGGCGCUUUUUCCAGAAAAGCCGCCCUCUAAACACUUUACAUUGAAACUUUAGAGGGCGCUUUUUUCCAGAAAGCGCCCUCUAAGUGUCCCUUUAUGGACCACUCCAGAGGGCGCUUUUUUCAUAAAGCGCACUAUAAUGUGGCCUUUAGACAGCGCUUUCUCCAGGAAAACAAAGCGCUGUCUUUACCUAUGCCAGCGCCAGAUUAGAGGGCGCUUAAAAGCGCUGUUAUAGGCCAAAAUAAGCGCCCUCUUUUCCCUUAUUUGGCGUAGUGUUAUCAGAAAAAUCAAGAUUGACGUAUGGUUAACGAUUAGCAGGAUUGCAAUUGUUAAGGUUUUUAUACAAUGAAAUCGUAGUAGAGAUCACCUAGGACUAGGGAUACCCUAUGGUUACCGGAUUAUUCUUGUUAAAUUAAAAUGACUUGGUUUCAUCAUAAUCACCUAAGGAUUUAGAGGUUAGAUUGAAUACCAAAGGUUUCCCUCUGAGGUCUUAGGGGGAAACAAUCUUAAGAUCCGGUCAUUGAAACAAUUCUCACUAUUAAGUAGAUAUACACUCAAGGGUCAUUACAGGAGAUUUUCACACAUCAUCCUUGGCAUAUAAUUAUAAUAUGUGAACAUAUUUAUUUUGUUUUAUUUUCCCUUGCAAUGAAUUUUACAAAACCCAAACUAUUCCUUUUGUUCGAUUGAGUGACUGUUUACAUUUAUAUUAUUGCGCAAUCCUCGAGAUCGAUCUUUGGGAAACAUCCCUCUUAUUACUACAUCGGCAUAAUAGUACACUUUCUAUUUUCCCGAUCAAGUUUUUGGCGUCGUUGUCGGGGAUUGCCAAAUAUUAGUUGAAAUUAUCUCAAUUGAAUUUUUUUUGCUCUGCAACUAAAAUUUAUUUUUCGUAUUUUGAAUAUUUUAUUUCGAUUAUAUCGACUAAUCUAUGUCUGAUAUUUAUAAGUGAGGUAAGGCCUCAGUUGAUUUUUCUUUUGACGCAGAAAUCGAGAGAACCUUGCGGGCAAGACUCAGACAAGCUCGAUUAGCCAGAUUGGAAUCAGACGAAGAAUAACUUUUCACCCAUUUAGGUUCAGAUUCAGGUUCUGAUAGAGAGAUCAAAAUUAUGGCUGAAGCUCCACCGCCACCAGAAAGACUAUUGGGAGACUACGAAGGUGCAAAUGUACAAACCGACAAAUUAACUAUUGUCCACCAACCUGUGAACGUGGCUAAUUUCUAGCUGCACCUGAGUACCAUUAAUCAACUUGAAAGGAAGCAUUUUACUGGAAAAGUGAAUGAAGAUGCAAACAAGCAUUUGCAGAGGUUUCUGACCAUGAGAAACACUCUAAAAAUAUAUGGCCACACCGAAGAAGCCAAGAAAUUGAGAAUGUUCCCGUUUACCUUAGCGGAAGAAGCUGAAGAAUGGUUUUAUUCCUUACCCACCGGUAGAAUCACAUCAUGGGAAGAAAUGGAAAAAACCUUCCUGAAUGAGUAUUUUCCAGCAUCGGUAUUUCUGCAGAAGAGGUAUGAAAUUCUGAAUUUUAAGCAAAAGGACAGGGAAACUUUGGGAGACACUUACAAGAGAUUCAAGAGAGUCCUAGUAGCCUGCCCAACUCAUAAUAUGGAUGCUAUUGAAUAGAUGCAGAUCUUUGUGAAUGGUCUCAAAAUAAAGACCAAACAGCUGAUUGAUACUGCAGCCGGUGGUUCCACAAAUUUUUCAACAGCCACCAGUAUCAAGAAGAUCAUUGAAGCAAUUACUGCUAAUGAACACAUGGAGUUGUACGAUAGGUGUCAAAGCAAACCAGAAGGGGUUAUAGAUUUAAAGCUGGAAACUAAUAAAAUAUGUAUUGAAGAUACUAUAGCUGCCGAAGUUGAUAAGAAGCUGAAGGUGAUGAAUAUAGGUACCCAACAGGUGGCGCAGGUCCAACCGGUUCCUACUGUCUGCUGUGAAAUUUGUAGUGGUCCAUACCAAACUGUUUAUUAUUUUGCAACUCCUCAACAAGGGGAGGAAAUCAAAUUUUUGAAGCAGAAUAAUCCUUAUUCCAACACGUACAAUCCAGGUUGGAAGAAUCAUCCCAACUUUUCAUGGAAAGACAAAAAAGGAACCGCUCCUCAACAUGGUUAAUACCAAACUCAAUAUCAACAACAACAUCAGCAACAAGCCCCUAAGAAAGCUGAUUGGGAAAUUGCCAUUGAAAGAAUGGCAACUCAGAAUGUUCAACUUCAAGAAGAAACCCGGAACAAUCAGAAAAACACCACAACAUCCAUAAAGAAUCUUGAAGUCCAAAUGGGUCAAAUUGUUUAGCAACUAGCUUCGAGUUCUCAAGCACAAGGUGCUCUACCUAGUACAAUCGUGACAAAUCCUAGAGAGCAUAAUAAUGUGAGCAUGGUGACAACAAGAAGUGGUAAAUCGGAUGAAGUUGUCGAGGAAGUGGAUGAAGAGGAAGACCAAUUGAUCAAAGUGGACCUUGAGAUCAAAGAAAAUGAAGUUGUUAGGAAAGAAGUGGUAGCACCGAAACUGGUUGUGAAAGAAACAGUCAUUGAGCCCAAGCCGGUUGUUAAGCUUCCCUUCCCCACUAGAAACAAGAAAAAAGGACAACAUGAGAAAAACUUUGAAAAAUUCUUAGAGUUGUUCAAGAAGCUGGAGAUUGUUAAGCUUCCCUUCCCCACUAGAAACAAGAAAAAAGGACAACAUGAGAAAAACUUUGAAAAAUUCUUAGAGUUGUUCAAGAAGCUGGAGAUUAACAUUCCUUUGUUGGAGGCACUUGAACAAAUGCCUACGUAUGCCAAGUUCAUGAAGGAUAUCAUUUCGAAGAGGCAUACCACCGGAACUAACUCGAUUAUUCUAACUGAAACUUGUAGUGCUAUUUUGCAGGGUAUGAAGAUUUCGAUAAAGAAGAAGGAUCGAGGAGUUGUCACUAUCCCGUGUACUAUUGGAGAUAGGUCGUUCAACAAAGCUCUUAUUGAUCUGGGAGCUAGUGUGAGUCUCAUUCCAUUAUCCAUUUACAAGAAGCUUGGUAUAGGGGUUGUGCAAGAUACCAUGAUGACUCUCCAAUUCUCCGAUCAUUCGGUCAAGAAACCGUAUGGCAUUGUGGAAGAUGUUCUGGUGAAAAUUGAUAAGUUUGUAUUUCUGGUGGAUUUUGUAAUUCUUGAAAUGCCGGAAGAUGAAGAGAUCCCUCUCAUUCUAGGGAGACCCUUUUUAGAGACGGGACGAUGCUUGAUAAACAUAGAAGAAGGAACAAUGAUGUUGAAGGUUUAUGAUGAGGAAUUGAAAAUCGAUGUUCGAAACACCAUGAGGUACAAGGAUGAUAUUUGUACCAGUCAUACUAUAGAGGUUCUGGAUCAGGUGAUGACAUAUGAUAACCCUUUGCAUACACCCCAAUCACCUUUGGAAAGAGUUUUGAGUUUGUCCAUUUUUGAUUCGAAUAAAGAGGUGGACAACAGGGAACCUGAAAUGCUAGCCUUGUUGGACGCACAACCCCCGUGGAAAGGAUAUCGACCACGCCGGUGGGAGGAUUUACGCCUACCUCAAUCUAGUGAGGAGAAUGAAGACCCAAAGAAGGAAACGGAGUUGAAACAACUUCUUGACAACCUCAAAUAUGUCUUUCUCGAACCUGAAGGAAAAUGUUCUGCUAUCAUAAACUCGAGCCUUUAGAAUAUUCAAGAAGAAAAGCUCAUCCAUGUCUUGAAAAAGUACAAAAAUGUUAUUGGAUGUGCAAUUGAAUAUUUGAAGGGUAUUAGUCUUACUGUGUGCAUGCAUAAAAUUCUCAUGGAAGACGACCACAAACCGGUAGUCCAACCGCAUAGAAGACUAAAUCCUGUAAUGAAGGAAGUAGUUCGGAAAGAGGUGGUGAAAUUGUUAGACGCAGGUCUUAUAUAUCCUAUUUCUGACAUCCCGUGGGUGAGCCUAAUUCAUGUUGUCCCUAAAAAAGGGGGGACCACCGUAAUAAAGAAUGAAAAAAAUGAGUUAAUUCCUACUCGGACAAUAACUGGAUGGCGUGUUUGCAUUGACUAUAGAAGGUUGAACACAACAACUAGGAAGGACCGUUUCCCUUUACCUUUUAUUGACCAGAUGUUGGAGAGGUUAGCCGGGCGUGAUUAUUACUAUUUUCUAUAUGGAUACUCCGGGUAUAAUCAGAUUGUUGUAGCUCCGGAAGACCAAGAAAAGACAACAUUCACAUGCCCGUAUGGUGUUUUUGCUUACAGAAGAAUGCCAUUCGGGUUGUGUAAUACUCCAGCCACGUUCCAACGAUGCAUGACUUCCAUUUUCGCCGACAUGCUCGAAAAUCAUAUGGAAGUCUUCAUGGAUGACUUCUCGGUCUUUGGAUCGUCAUUUGAUAAUUGUUUAACUAAUCUCUCUCUUGUUUUAGACAGGUGCCAGAAAACGAAUUUAAUUUUGAACUGGGAGAAAUGUCACUUCAUGGUGCGUAAAGGGAUAGUGUUGGGUCACAAAAUUUCCUACAAGGGAAUUGAAGUUGACCAAGAAAAAGUGGAAGUGAUAUCUAAACUCCCACCCCCUAUUAAUGAGAAGGGUAUCAGGAGUUUCUUAGGACACACAUGCUUUUACCGCAGAUUCAUAAGAGAUUUUUCAAAACUUGUAAAACCGCUGACCACUCUAUUGGUUAAAGAUAAGGCGUUUCUAUUCAACAAAGAAUGCACCAUGGCCUUUGAGACAUUGAAGAUCAAACUGAUUUCAGCACCCAUUGCUAUUGCCCCCGAUUGGUCUCUUCCGUUUGAGAUCAUGUGCGAUGCUAGUGAUAUUGGUGUAGGGGCAGUCUUAGGACAGCGAAGAGAGAAGUUAUUACAUGUCAUUUACUAUGCUAGUUAUGUGUUGAACCCGACACAGAUGAACUAUGCAACCACUGAAAAAUAGUUGUUGGCCGUGGUUUACGCUUUUGACAAGUUCAGGCAAUAUUUGUUAGGAUCGAAGGUUGUAGUGUAUACGGACCAUGCCACUUUGAAAUAUCUGUUUGCUAAACAAGACUCUAAGCCGAGACUUCUCAGGUGGAUCUUACUCCUCCAAGAAUUUGAUGUAGAGAUCCGAGACAAAAGAGGGUGUGAAAUCACAAUGGCAAAUCAUCUAUCUCGCAUGUCACCUAUUGAAGAAACAGAAGAAAAGAGGCCGAUAAAGGAUGAGUUCACUGAUGAACACAUUCUCGUUGUUAUCAGUAUCCCGUGGUUCACAGACUACGCGAAUUAUUUGGUGGGGGUGUCUGAUCGUGUGAAUUCGUAAGUGCACGAAUCGCGUCAAAGUAAUAUAAAAGAAUAUCGAUCCCACAGAGACCAAAUCAUCAAUCUAUCGAUUACUACCGUUACAAUGUUUAUCUAAGGCAGUAUAAAAGAGAUAUUGGUGUUGCAAAAUAACGGUAAAUAAUAAAUGCAUGUAAAAACAGGUUGAAUGUAUUUCACGUCAGUUAAGUGAUGUUUCGAUUGUCUAAAUAGAACUACUUAUGAGGCAAUAUUUUCCACUCUUGAAAAGAAUCCAUUUAACAGGAACUGUCGCUUUCGCGUAUUCAGAACCGACUUUACCCUUAAAUUAAGGCCUCUUAUUGUCACUUAUAAAAGGUGCGCAGAAUGCUAAAGUAGUAAACUUAUUUUUAAGAAAUAAGACUCAUAAACUUAGUUGAAAAGUGAUUUUGGUUUGGAAAGUUUUACCCAAGGAGUUUCCUGAUUUCAAAUCUAUCAACGCGUCCGAAAACAGUUUCAAAAAUAGUUUCUCCUUAAAGUGAUAAAAAUUCCUAGUUAACUAAGCCAGGGUGCUUUCACACUCCUUGAAUAGUUAAAACUAACCAAGUUUGUUUCAGAAAACUCAAGUUAAAAAUCAAAACAACCUUUAAAGUAUUUAAAAGUGAUAAAAAUUCCUAGUUAACUAAGCCAGGGUGCUUUCACACUCCUUGAAUAGUUAAAACUAACCAAGUUUGUUUCAGAAAACUCAAGUUAAAAAUCAAAACAACCUUUAAAGUAUUUCUACAAAUUCAAUAUGUGAAACAUCUCUUUAACCGCGAUCCUUACAUUCUAACCUUUAAAAGAUUUAGCCAGACAUGGUAAUUCCAACAAACACAACGAUAUUGAUCAUGAUGAAAAUUUGUUUUAGAAUGUGAGGCGUGAGGGACGAGUAAAACGUGUAAAGAUAAAGCGUGGACAGAAAGUAAAUAAAAAUAAAGCGAGACGGAAAAUAAAUAAAGUAAAGCGUAGACAGAAAAUAAAUAAAGUAAAGCGAGACAGAAAAUAAAUAAAUUAAAUCGUAGAUAGAAAGUAAAUAAAGUAAAGCGAGACGGAAAAUAAAUAAAGUAAAGCGUAAGCGAAAAACAAAUAAAGUAAAGCGUAGACAGAAAGUAAAUAAAAUAAAGCGAGACCAGUAAAUAAAUAAAAGCGAUAAAAUAAGAACCUGCUCCAAACGGAGACUUUAAUUCUGGUACAAGGAAAAUAAACCUCCGACUUUGAAGAUAAAGAUGACAGCAACUCGAAGUGACCCAACUCAAUCUCACUAAGGUGCGAUAACCCCUCGAUGUGAUGGAUUACCACUUUACAGAUGAUAAAUAUAGUCUUAGUGUUGUAAAAUAAGUUGGAUGAUUUGAAAAUGAAAUGGAACAAACUAUUUAUAGAGGAUUUCAGCAGCUUUCCAAGACCAUGGUGCCCUCCAACUUCUCCUUAGUGGGAACGUGGAAUACAAAGGUGGCGCCCGCCAUCCCUUCAUGGCGCCCGCCAUGUGUGGAAAUGGGAAAGAUCAUGGGAACGUGGCGGUUACCUCCUAGUUGAGGUCUGAUGAGUCAUGGCUUCUCCUAUAGCGGCCGCCAUGUGCAACGCCAUGUGUACAAUAUUCGCCGAAAAACCCUAAUUUUAGGUCUUUUUGCUUCGUUUCUUCCAAAAGGGUCCGAAAGAGAUAAAUAUAUGAAAACAACAUAAAAGAGAGCAUAAUACAAACAAAAUGAUAAUAAAGUCCUAAUAAACAUGUGAAAUCCGAGUCAAAAACACGGCGUAAUUCAGUGUGAUCAGUGUCAUCCCCAACAAUUUUGAUUCUAACAAAAUUUGAUUUUUUUCUUUUUGUGCUUUUAUGGACCCCAUCCGGAUUUUCCACCACUUAAACAUAUUUUACCCUUAAGCUACCAAUAAAAUCUGUUUUUCUUUCUCUUUCUCUCUCUCUCUCUCUCUCUCUCUCUCUCUCUCUCUCUCAUUUUUACAUAAUCCCUCUCCUUCCUCAUUUGUUCUUCACCUUCCUCCAUAACCACACCACCUUAAAGCUCUCAACUUUAGCACCUUACUCUGUCCAAAUUGCCGGCACCCUUCACAAAAUUUUCUCUACUCUCCAUCUUCUACAAGGCUACGAUAAUCGUUUUUCCAUUUUCCAUACUUUUUUUGGGUAAUACAUUGUGUUGCAGGAAUCAAUAAUACCGCCAAAGCGAAUUUCCAAAGGGAAGCAAACAUAUGUGGAAUCAUCCCGUCCACGGAAACGGACCAUCCAUCAUCCGAAUUCAUAUGAUAUCAUCUUUGACAACUCGGAGCAUGAACGGAGGUACGCAUCUCACGUCAAACGAAAAAUCACUCUGACAAGGUACCUUUGCUCCGAUACUUUAUUUCAAUUAGGUUUGUCAGAAGAAUUGGAUAGGAUGUUCCAUGUCCUCGGAAUGCUUGAAUUUGUGCAUUGUGAAACGCCAACCUAUGAGCGCAUCACCUUAGAAUUCUUGAGCAUAAUUGAGUUCAAGAUGAAAAAAGGUUGGACGGUUACAACGAUGUACUUUGGAGGAACGAUGUCUUUCAGGUUAUACAAUGUCGACCACAAGUUGAUAGUGGAGCAGCUAGGUGAAAUUCUCCGCCUACCCCUUUAUAGCCUCGGAGCCGUACCAUAUAGUUUUGAUGCUAAGACUUUAUGGUUGGCCAUUAUGGGACAAUCUGAUUAUGUGGCAAAAGGGGAAAAUGCAUCUGACAUUCAGAACCCCUGCUUCAGGUAUGCCCAAAAGGUGCCGACUUUCACACUUUUUGGUAGGGGUGAUAGCACAGGUGUAGCCACCCAAAGGGAACUCUUCUUUUUGUUUGCCAUGGCAAACCGGGUAGCUGUGAGCGUUGAAGCAUUUUCAGCGGAUUACCUGGGCCAAGUGGGGAGAGCAGCCCAGGGGGGAAUCUUCAUAGGGGGCAUCAUCACACAUAUUUCCCAUCAUUCCGGAUAUGACCCUGCCACACUUAGUGAGACACCGGUGGCAAGUAAGCACAAACUGGACAUGAACGCAUUGGUCCAACAAGGUAUGAUUUCAUAAAUUUCUGAUUAUUAUCCCUUAAUGAGUUCUGGUCAGUUUAUAAUGGCUCUUCCUGACCCUGCACGAAUUAGCAUUUCCAACACGGCCAAUUGGCUAUAUGAGAGUGUCGUCCAAGAUGAUAUGGAAGAGCACAAUGCUGACACAUUUCCUGCAGGUGAUCCACCAGAGGAAGAAGUACAGGAAGAGAUGCAGGAACAAGAGCAAUUUGUUGCUCCACCUGAGGACACCAUGCACCCAGGUGUCAGGUCAUCAUAUGUGACGCCAGAUCAAUGGUCGUGGAUGCAAAUAGAAUUGGAGAUCUCCGAGCGGAGCAAACACGCCAAGGCUUAGAGCAAGCUUGUCAAGGGACUCUUAUGGACGAGAUGCACGCGAUGAUGCAACUCUGAUGUUGCACUUUCCGUCACCAUAGUGAACCGGUGUGAGUCCCUCUCUAUCUUGGAUUAAACAUUGCGGACAAUGUUUAGUUCAAGUGUGGUUUUUUUUUACUAUUUGUUGUUUUUGUUGUUUGUUUUGUUCUUAGUAUUUUUGUUUUAAUUAGUUGUGUGGUAUUCUAUGUGUUACAGAUAAAGGACAUUCGUGUCGGAUGAAUGAUGAAGCUUGGAGCGAUUGGAUGGAAAAGACACACCCCUCUACUUGCUCUUCUGGAAACCCCCGAAAGUUGAUGCUACUGACCCGAACAAUCGAACGCGACUCUUUGUCACUGGACUUCUUAGGGAUACUCUGUAACCGAAGCGAAGACGAAACUGCAUCACACUGAGAGGUAUCUUGGAAGCCUGUAAGCUAGACAAAACAUGGUGAGGACUACAAAAAGCCAAACACUUGUCAUCAUGAGAGUUGUCCAGGUAUGUAUCUAUCUCUCUGGGUUUGCAUUAGAGAUACUGAAAUUUCAUAACACACUGUACACACUGAGGCAUUGUUUUUAUUUUAACCCUGAGCCUUUUCAGACAACCCGCCAUUAUUACCCUUCGUUCACCAAAUUUGAGCCAUAUUUCAUUUUGUUUGCUAUUUAACCACUGUAUAUAACCAUAAGCCCAUACACCACCACACCUUGCUUAGAUAAGUGUUGUUUACUCCGGAUCUGUGGAAAAGCCUAAGUUUGGGGUUUUACCAAAAUGUUGGAGACACCGAUGAAAGGUAGAUAAGUGAAAAAAGAAAAAAAUUCAAAGAAAAAAAAAGAGAAAUGAAAAAAAUGUAUAUCAUGAGAAGUAUCAUGAAGAACUUAUCUAGAACUAUUAAGGUUGGCAAAAAGCAUGCUCAAAGAGCAAUAAAAGAAAAAUAUAUGAGCCAAUGAAUCUCAACAAGAACGAUGUCCAAAAGAAAUACCCCUGAUCUUUAGAUUGAACAACAGUUACGAGGGUAACAACACAAACUCUGAGCCUGAACCCCGUGUUUCCAUUUUUGUUUUGACUCCCCACCUUACACCUUAACCCCGCUACAACCCACAAAGUCCUCGAAUAGUGUGUGUUGUGUGUUUCUUGUUAUGAAGGUAUCUGUAUUUCAAACCUAAGAGUUGACUUUGCAUGCUCUAUUUUUCUUGAGUGUAAACACUUUGAUCCCGAGAGAUUUGGAGAGAGUGUGAAAAGCUACAGGUCAAAAGAUGCAUCAAGGUGAAAGUGUGGCUGAAGUCGGAAAUCGGGAAAGAGUAAAGUUGUGAUUGAAAAGUGAACAGGAGAUCGCGAAAGAUCGCAGUAGCAUUAUGGAUGUGAAAUUUGGGGGUGACUGUCCUGAUGUCUCGAGCAUCACUUGAGGACAAGCAAUGAUAUAAGUUUGGGGUUGUGAUCAGUCUCCAAUUCUACUUGUUUUCUAACACUCAUUCGGCACCUUUGUACGAAGUCGGUAACACAUUAGUCCACUUAUUUUAUUAUUUUGUUUAGUAAUUUAGAUUUUUUGCAUUGUUGUUUCCAGUUGUUGAUUACAUGUUAUAUGCAUCAUUAUACUCCAUUUUAUAUCCCUUUGUGGUAAUUCUAUUGGUUUCAGGUGUAAGCAAGAGUACCAGAGGGAUAAGCAAGCAAAUCAGACGUCCUAGGCCCGUCAGAAGAAGAAAAUUUGACAGUACAGUAGCCCUGACACGGCCACCCGUGUUGCCCAACACGGCCCGUGUCAGGAGAAGACACUUGGAAGAGGAAAAUAAGGAGCUGACACGGGUGCCCGUGUCAGCUGACACGGCCUGUGCCAACCUCCUUGAAGGGGCGUGUCAAGCUUGUUUACACCAGAAGCCCAACACGGCCUGUCGUGUUGCUUGACAUGACCAAUGUUGGCUUGGACACUUGAUUUUUCAGUUUUUUUUGCUGUUUUUGGCACGACUUAUCCCGAAGGGCAUUCUGGACUUUUACUAGAUAAAAAUUGUCAUAAGGAAUUAUUUAGGGAAAACUUGAAUAUGGAGAAAGGGACUUUUUCAUGAUAAAAAAAAUUAGAGACGAUAAAGAUUGAAGUAGUGGAAAGCAACGAAGAACGGAGAUCUUUCAAGAGCGGACACAAUUGAAGAUCAACAGAAUUCCGAACUUUUUGUAAUGUCUCAAUUUUAUCUUGUAUUUUAUUUGAAUAAUAUGAGAGGUUAAACCCCCCAAUGCUAGGGGGUGUCCCUGAAUUGAUCAUGUAAAUACUCUGAUGUUAUAAUUUCCUUAAUAUAUGUUAUUUGUUUUCAAUUUCACUGUGUAAUGUGCGUAACGCCUUCUUUUUCAGAAAAAUCAAGAUUGAUGUAUGGUUAACGAUUAACAGGAUUGCAAUUGUUAAGGUUUUUAUACAGUGAAACCAUAAUAGGGAUCACCUAGGACUAGGGAUACCCUAUGGUUACCGAAUUAUUCUUGUUAAAUUAAAAUGACUUGGUUUCAUCAUAAUCACCUAAGGACUUAGAGGUUAAAUUGAAUACCAAAGGUUUCCCUCCGAGGUCUUAGGGGGAAACAAUCUUAAAAUCCGGUAAUUGAAACAAUUCUCACUAUGAAGGAGAUAUACACUCAAGGGUUAUUACAUGAGAUUUUCACACACCAUCUGUGGCAUAUUAUUAUAAUCUGUGAACAUAUUUAUUUUGUUUUAUUUUCCCUUGCAGUGAAUUUUACAAAACCAAAACUAUUCCUUUUGUUCAAUUGUGUGACUGUUUACACUUAUAUUGCUGCACAAUCCUCGUGAUCGAUGUUUGGGAAACAUCCCUCUUAUUACUACAUCGGAAAAAUAGUACACUUGCUAUUUUCCCGAUCAUUAUGCAAAUCUCAUAACAUUUUCCUUAUUCUCUAUAAGUGAGGUUCUUGAUGAAGAACCUAGAGACUACAAGGAAGUUGUGCGGAUUCGAAACAAGACUGAAUGGCUGAAAUCCAUAGAUGAUAAGAUGAAAUCUUUUCAUGAUAAUCACACUUGGGAGUUGAUCGAGAAACCCGCAGGAGCCAGGUUAGUCAAUUGUAAGUGGAUUUUCAAGGUUAAUGAAGGAAUCAAAGGAGUGAUGUCGAAGAGAUUUAAGGAAAGAUUGGUUAUUAGGGGGUUCACUCAAAAAGACGAUGUCAACUUUAAUGAUGUGUUCUCGCAUGUUGUAAACCAUAAAUCCAUUCAAAUGUUGCUUGAUAUGGUGGCAAAGUUCGACUUAGAACUUGAACAGAUGAAUGUGAAGUCAUCCUUCCUAUAAGGUGAUCUAGAUGAAAUAAUCCCGAUGAGCAAACCGAAGGGUGUGCAGAAAAGGGCAAGGAGGAUUGUGUGUGCAAGCUGAAUAAGUCUUUAUAUGGACUGAAACAAUUUCCUCGAAAAUGGAAUAGGAGAUUUGACAAGUUCAUGGAACAUAUAGGUUUCGCUAGAAGCUAGUUCAACCAUUGUAUUUACUUCAGAUUUUGACCUGGAAAUUCACUUUUUAUUUUAUUGCUUUAUAUGGAUGAUAUCCUCAUAAAAAGUAACAUUGUCGAGGAUGUUAUGAAGGUGAAAGUUGAACUUGAUAAGGANAAAAGAGAGAGAGGUGUAGUGUGCACACGCCUGAUAUGUAAGGUCUUAUAUGGACCUCAAAUUUCCUCGAAAAUGGAAUAGGAGAUUUUGACAAUGUUCAUUGGAACAUAUGGUUCUCGGCUAGCAACGCUAGUUCAAGACGCAUUGUACUUUACCUUAGUAUUUUGACCUGGAAAUUCACUUUUAUUUUAUUGCUUUAUAUGGAUGAUAUCCCCAUAAAAAGUACAUUGUGCGAGGAGCUUAAUGAAGUGAAAGUUGAACUUGAUAAGGAGUUGCGACAUAAAGGAUCUUAGAGAUGCGCCCUAGAAUUAUCAGGAUUAACAUCCAGAGACUAGAAAGCAAUUUAGAUUAAGUGCUUAUCUCAAGAGACAUACCCUACUGCUGGGUAAAGGGAUUUUAUGAAAGUUUCGGUUGACCGUCGUAUUAGAUACGGACGCCCGCCUCUACCAUUACCGCGACGUUGUUUCAGAGACACUGUUGAUGCAAGAUGCAGUCGCGAUCCUUGUUGGUUGGCCGUCCAGAUCUAAUUUUCCCUGAUGCCGAGGUAUAUAUGUUCUAAAUGAUUAUGAAUAUUUAGAAUUCACCAUUUCAACUUCAGCUACAAUUAUGAUAUUUAAUCAAUCCUUAUUACAUGGUAAUGUUAGACUCCUACAAGACCCACCCCCUAAAGCUGGUAAAGGAUUUCAAGACGCAUCGAGUCGGUUGCAUCUCAAAAGAGGUACAAAUAAUAUAUACCCAUUGAAUUAUAUACACAACGAUUCUUUGCAUCCCAAAAAGUAAUGAUUUAUUUUAUAUGAAUUUUAGGUUCCCGGUCGAAAGUUGAAAAGCGAUGGUAAGGAAUAUCAACAAGAAGGAUAUUCCAACGAGGAUAUUCCAACGAAAGGAUAUUCCAACGAAGGAUAUUCCACACGACGCCGGACCGACAAAAUCUCAAAUAUGAUGCGUCUUGAGAAAAUGGUGGAAGACGCGAUAUAUGGACGGGUCCAUUCGUAGUAUAGAUUUUGAUGAAAGUGUUUUCGGAAAAGCUCAUUUCGAAAUAAUUUGGAAAGGAGGACAUGGCAAAACUUUUGAGCAGCGACGAUUUGGGCAUCGGUAGUCAUUCAUACAUACAUAGUGGUACUCCGAUCAAUCUAUAAUUUACUUAGUUGAACAUUUAUUACACAUUUCAAUGAGUAGUCUAACUAUUAUUAUGGUUCUAUUUAACGGUGGAUCAAGUGUAUUGACAAAUUCGAUGCGGAGGGGAACUGAAUUGUGUAACCGUUUCAAUUUUAUUGCUGCUUCCCGUGUCAACGCAACAUUAAUAUCGAAAAAUCCAACAUCCGUAAAGAAUGAUCUAGUCGAUAGAUUCAUGGCGGCCGGCGAUAAAACUACACGCAGUUUGUUUUUUUUACCGUUUAAUUCUGGCAACGGGUUAGAUUUUAGAAUAUAUCUAUAUAAUGUAAAACUCCUUUAGUCAUUAGGGUUCCAUAUUUUUAUGAUUAAGGAGGGACCGUUCUAGAGUACACCCUUAAAUAAUGAUUGUUAUCCUACUCAUUAUGAUUUAUUGGACCAUCAGAAUUUUCUCGAAAGAAAAAUAACUCUCUAAAGAAAUUUUCAAGAAACACUCAAAAAAAAUUGACGAGUAGAAAGGGGAUAAAUGAGGGACUCCAAAAUUUAAAGAGCAUGUAAAAGAAUGUGAGGAAGGAAAAACUCAUGUUUUUGGUGUGCUUUGAGAAGUGACGUAAGUUCUUUAUUUCCAUGAACGAAUGAACCAAAUCAUUCGAUCAUUAACGAAAUAGACAAUCAAAUGAACAAAAACGUGGGAGAGAAUUAAAGAAGUGGAGCUUUGUCAAGGCAAGGGGAAGAAGAAUUUGAACGAUUAAACACAUCAUCUCACAAACCCUAAAUCUAAACUGAUCUUGCUUAAUGAAUAUUCAUUUUAACAGUGCUUAAUGAAUAUUCAUUUUAACAGUAUUCACUCAAAGCUUACAAAGCUAAUGGUCAAGGAUGACAUGUCAAUUUUGAUUUUUGUAUUCACUCAAAGCUUACAAAGCUAAUGGUCAAGGAUGACAUGUCAAUUUUGAUUUUUUUAUUUUUAAAAUUAAAAUAUAGAUUAAAUAUCAAGCCACAACCACAUGUCUGACACUAACCAAAUCGAUUGGUCAAACAAUAUGUGAUAUUAAUUAUUGAAAUCAUUAUCUUUUUUGGCAAAACUUAUAUAUUCAUUGAAGCACACCAUAAAGAGAAUUCUUCAACUAUAUAAACAAUUGAAAUAUGUAAACCUUGUUAAAUGUGAAGCUGAAAUAUUUUAUUUUUUCAAUCACCACUCACAAUUUGACCCUUGACAAUUAUUCCAUAAUAAAAAAACAAGUUGUUUGUGUGAACACACCCAUCUCUUUGAAUUCUAAGCACGUUCCUCUCCAACCAAUUAAUAUUUGAAUCAUAGUUGACAAUGCUGUGAGGACUAACCCAUUUCAAGCUACCAUAUACCCUAUGAAACAAUAAACACAAUAGUAUAUACAAUAUUUAUUUAUUUAAGACUGAUAAAAGUUUGUUGUUUAUUUGAUUUGGAAGGAAGAAUUUGUUAGCAGCAUGAAUUAAAUAUUCUUGAAUCUCCUUAUACGAUUCUUUUUCAACAUUAUUACACUCUACUUAUGAAACAAUAUAAGAUUAUAAGUAUAAAUAAUUAGCCAAUAGUAUUAAGUUAUAGUUUGUUGACUAUUGACUCAUAUAUAGAGAUAAACAGAAGUGUUCAAAGUUGACAUUUCAAACGCUAUUACGUGUUUUAGUUCUCAUCAAUAGUUGUAUAUAUACUUCACUCUCUAUAAAUCCAACAUUCAACAAACCAUCACAAAUAGAGAUCAAACUCACUAAAUUUGGAGAAAUAAAUCAUAGAGAAACAUGCCAAUGCUGCAAACCUCCAACUGUAUCUCUACAAAAUCAGUGAUAAUUACCAUGUAAGUAUAUGCUCCUUCGGUUUUUUAAAUAUUGAAUAUUUUGCAGAACUUUUUUGUUUAUUUUCAUUUAUUAUUUUCAAAAGUUAAAACAGUAUUAAUCAUUAGUUAUUUAAAAUCAU